CUCGAUUUAUUGGAUUUAUAUAUCGGAUAUGGACUUGCAAUGGAAGAACAAAUCAUGUGAUCGUCUACCUAGAAUUGUAGUAUACUUGCAGCUGCCUAACCAGCGUUGCUCAGGAAGUCUAAGAAACCAAAAUAUCAACACAGGUUUGAAAGGAUCAGUCUGCCAUCUUGGUUCAAGAGGGUGUCCAGUUGUAUCAAAACUUUGCCCCAAAGCUGAUCCUUGAUCGCAGGGACCAUAAUGAAAAAAACAGUUAUGAUACCUUAGACAAACAGCUUUCUAAAAUAUAUUGUACGUUGUCCUAGGAGGUUGACUGGGGUCCAGGCCGGGAGAGAGGAAAAGAAAGAGAAGUCAACAGUACAGUGGUACCUCAGGUUACAGACGCUUCAGGUUACAGACGCUUCAGGUUACAGACUCCGCUAACCCAGAAAUAGUACCUCGGGUUAAGAACUUUGCUUCAGGAUGAGAACAGAAAUUGUGCAGCAGCGGUGCAGUGGCAGCAGGAGGCCACAUUAGCUAAAGUGGUACCUCAGGUUAAGAACAGUUUCAGGUUAAGAACGGACCUCCGGAAUGAAUUAAGUUCUUAACCAGAGGUACACUGUAUUUCAAUAGUAGAAACCUCCCCCCCCCCACUUUUUAUAGCAUUCCCUCUCUUUUUGUUAUGGCUGCUAGAUCUCUCUUUGAAAGAAAACAGGAGAAUACAUUUCCUUCAGCUUGACACCACCUGAGUCUCCCUCCAACACCUUCUCCUUGAACUCUUUGUUCUUUCCCCGAAUCCGUUAAAUUUAUGUGCACUGUCUUUUUGAAUCUCCCUGGUACUCAUUCAUCAGGGAAAGUGUUCCAAACUGAUGACCACUAAAUUCUUCAGCUUAAAUUAAACCAUUCUGUGUGGACGUACAUUUAAACAUCUUCCAGCUACACUGUUCCACCGACAGAUAGACGCGUUCUCUAAAAACGUUGCCAGCAUGUCUUUUUCAACAUAUUUUAACAAAACACUCUGGCUCUCUCAAACCGCCCCUACCAAAUAAUAUAUAUUUAGGCUGGCAGAGUCUGGAGACCAAAUUUGUUCUUCUGGUGCAUGCAUUGGGUUCUCAUUGAAGUUAAUGAGAACCACCUGUCAAGGGUUCUUGAGCAACACUUUGAUGAACAAUGAACUUAAGAAGAGUGAUGGUUGGUUGCUGCAAUUUUACUGCUUGAGCAACAUCAAUGAUCAAAAGAUGAAACAUGCACAGCCAACACAAUCGCAUACACAAGCAACAAAUUGUCGGCUGCCUGGGUCCAAUUUUGUGUGUGUUACACAGUUCUGAAACGGCUCAACCAAUUUCCUCCAACUUGAAGUGAUUCCCCAAGUCUAUUGGUUGGUUAAAUUUGGUUUAACUGUUUGGUUUAACAAAAACUGCUUGUUAGGAAAUGGUUAGCAGGUUUUGUGUGGUAUAAGCAGCCUUCUACAUUGCUCAUUGUGUGGGAUGCGGGUGGCGCUGUGGGUUAAACCACAGAGCCUAGGAAUUGCCGAUCAGAAGGUCGGCGGUUCGAAUUCCUGCGACGGGGUGAGCUCCCGUUGCUCGGUCCCUGCUCCUGCCCACCUAGCAGUUUGAAAGCAUGUCAAAGUGCAAGUAGAUAAAUAAGUACCGCUCUGGCGGGAAGGUAAAUGGCGUUUCCUUGCGCUGCUCUAGUUCACCAGAAGUGGCUUAGUCAUGCUGGCCACAUGACCUGGAAGCUGUACGCCGGCUCCCUUGGCCAAUAAAGCGAGAUGAGCGCCGCAACCCCAGAGUCGGUCACGACUGGACCUAAUGGUCAGGGGUCCCUUUACCUUUACCUUUACAUUGCUCAUGUGGGGUGUUUCUGUCAGAUACUCUUCCAUCAGUUUGUCUCUCCCAGUGAACAUUUGAGCUCUGAAGUCUGCAAGUGUCUUGUUCCUAUUCCUAUGCUCCUUCAACUAAACGGUAGUCCAGUGGGAGGCAAUAAUGUUGAACGAACAGACUGGACUUUGAAAUGUUUGAACAAGAAAUGCUCUUUCACUAUAAAAUGCAACUUCUGUCCCGGAUUAGAGAAUUCAGAAAAAACACUUUUAAAAGACCCAUACAACUUCUGAAGCCCUCCCCCCAACUAUUUUAACAAAAGACGUAAGUGUAUGAGUAACUCAAAUAAGUAUAUUGCCUUUAAAAGAACAGGGCAUUAAGAUGAAUUAUUUUAUAAGCAAAGUUAUGUAAAGCUGGCCUAAAUCUGUAAUACAGGGAUGGGAAACCCACUGCUCUCCAGAUGUGGCUGAGAGCAGUGAGAGUUGGAGUCUAUUAAGAUUUGGAGGGCCACAUGACCCCUGUCUCUGCUUUAAUCCUAGCCACAAUGACAUGGGGGAGAGCUCCAUUGAAUAUAGUGGGCCUUACUUAUGAGUAAGAAUAUGACUGAGCUGUAAAGCUCUAACUCUAAUUAGACAUGAUGGUGGCAGACCCAUGGGUUGUUGAAAUAAAGCAAGCAGGUGGUUGGAGUUUAUGUGAACUUGCAUUUCAGCUCUAGAACAUCUUGAAAAUAGCCAAAACUUGGGUUGCUAUUUAAGGAAGGUUCUAUCCAUUAGAACAGAGCUGCGGAACCUGUCAUUUACCAUACGUUGUUGGACUCCAACUCCUGUCCAACCCCAAACAGCGUGGCCAAUGGUCAAGAAUGAUGGGAGUGCAGUCCAACAAUGUCUGGAGUUCCUGUUGUGUUAGAAAAUGACUCUGUAUACAGCCAAACAACAUUUUACGUCCAGAAUGAGCAGAAUCUAGUAUAGAAAGAUAAAUCGUAUUCAAUACGUGGACCGUCAGUGUUAUACUAAUUUGACCAUCAUAAUCCAAGUGAUAUCAAGGUGUAUAAGGUAAAAGGUAAAGGACCCCUGGAUGGUUAAGUCCAGUCAAAAGUGACUAUGGGGUUGCGGCGCUCAUUUUGCUUUCAGGCUGAAGGAGCCGGUGUUUGUCCACAGACAGCUUUCCGGUUCAUGUGGCCAGCAUGACUAAACCACUUCUGGUGCAACGGAACACUGUGACGGAAACCAGAGCACAUGGAAACACCGUUUACCUUACUGCUGCAGUGGUACCUAUUUAUCUACUCGCACUGGCAUGCUUUCAAACUGCUAGGUUGGCAAGAGCUGGGACAGAGCAAUGGGAGCUCACCCCAUCGCGGGGAUUUGAACCGCUGACCUUCUGAUCAGCAAGCGCAAGAGGCUCAGUGGUUUAGACCACAGCACCACCUAUAUGCUUCCCCCCCGAAAAAUAACAAAAAUAUAAGAUUAGCCCUGCUGCUUUAGACCAAAACCUCAUCUAGUUCAACAUCCUGUCUCAUACAGUGGGCCCCCAAGUAUGACCUGAGUCCAAUUCAAACAAUGGCCAUUGCAAAUUGCUCCACCCAACCUGCUCUUCAGGCCUCGGUCCAGUAUAUCUGAAGGAGCGUCUCCACCCCCAUCGUUCUACCUGGACACUGAGGUUCAGCGCUGAGGGCCUUCUGGCAGUUCCCUCACUGCGAGAAGCCAAGUUACAGGGAACCAGGCAGAGGGCCUUCUUGGUAGUGGCGCCCGCCCUGUGGAACGCCCUCCCACCAGAUGUCAAAGAGAACGACAACUACCAGACUUUUAGAAGACAUCUGAAGGCAGCCCUGUUUAGGGAAGCUUUUAAUGUUUGAUGUAUUACGGUAUAUUAAUAUUUUUUGGGAAGCUGCCCAGAGUGGCUGUGGAAGCCCAGCCAGAUGGGCGGGGUAUAAAUAAAUAAAAAUAAUAAUUAUUAUUUGUGAUGGUCCCGGGGGGAGGUUACCGUGAGGCGUGGUCAGAGUUUGGUCCUGGGUCAAGGGUCUGGAGACUGUCCACCAAGGGUGAAGCGGGGUCCAGAGCGAGAAGCCGGGCGUGGUCAGGAACUCUGGAAGAACAGGUCUGGGUGCUGGCAGAAACAGGUUUCCAACGACAUUGCUCCCGCAACCUGGGACUGGGCUGACUGACCUUUAUCUUCUAUGAGGCCAGGGGCGGUCCCGGCCCACAGGUGACCCGCCUCUCCUGGCCUUAAGGCGAGCACUCCUCCUGAGAGAACCCAGUUCCCUCUGCCUCUCUGCCCUGAGCCUCUGCAGCUCAGGAGAGGCUGGAGGGUUACUGGACCCAGGGGCAGCUUCACCUUCCCCUGAGAGGGCUGGGAGAGGCGCACCUGCAGGCAAUGGGUCCUCAACCACCUCCGGAGCCAGAGUGGAUUCAUUUGGUGUGUGCUCCUGAGGAUCUGGCACAGGUGCAGACCCUUCAGACUCAAGCCCCUGCCCCGGUUCAGCCAACCCUGGAGGUGGGGACUCCUGUGCAGGCUGGGACUCCUCAGGUUCAGCUUCUGAAUCAGACUCCCAGGCCAUCACAUUAUUUGGGGACCAACAAUCAUUUCCUAAAUGGAUAGGAAAGCAGUGGGGAGAGCGGAUCUCAGUAGACAACUAACCAGAAAAGAAAGGGUUAAGCAGUGCCACUCCCCUGGUUGUCUACUCUUGCUUGCAGCCUCCAGGGCUGCUUUUCAGUUUGAAAACAAAACCAUACCCCAAAGUGCUGGGGAGGGUUCUUUUAAGCAUCCUCUGUGAGAUGUCUAGUUUAGCCUACCGUUGCAUGGGAAACUGGGAUUUUCCUCCCCCAUUAAUGAAUGCAACAUACCUUCUUUGAUUCGAAUGCUUUUGGAGUGCUGAAAAAAUCCAAAAGGCAUUGCUUCCUGCACCAGCAGCACGCCUUUAUACUUCUCAGUAGUUCACCUCUACCCAGCUGCUAUUUCUCAUUAACAAGCGUUUGGCUGGCCUAGCCAAGGGGGGGAGUGUUGACACUUGAAAGGCAGGCACUGGCAGAUCUCAACUGCAGAGGCAGGAAACUGCCUGAAGGUGGACGGCUGAUGGAGGAACAAGGAUUUGCAGGCACCCCUGGCAGCAGCUUCCAAGGAGGGGGGCAAAUUCCCACCUCCAGAAUAAAUUCUAUAUAGUUUGCCCCAUAGAAGCCUUUGGGGAAAGAGCCUGUCUAACUUGCAUGGCCCUCUCUCCUCAUUUGCAAGGCCCCAGUCUGUAUUAUAUUCUGCAGCCAUGUUAGAUACGAAGACACAAUAUCUAUCUGUCUGUCUGUCUAUUGCCUAUCUCUAUCUAUCUAUCUAUCUAUCUAUCUAUCUAUCUAUCUAUCUAUCUAUCAUCUAUCUAUCUAUCUAUCAUCUAUCUAUCAAUCAUCUAUCUAUCAUCAUCUAUCUACAGUGGUUCCUCAGGUUACAUACACUUCAGGUUACAGACGCCGCUAACCCAGAAAUAGUACCUCAGGUUAAGAACUUUGCUUCAGGAUGAGAACAGAAAUCGUUCUCCAGCAGCGCAGCGGCAGCAGGAGGCUCCAUUAGCUAAAGUGGUGCUUCAGGUUAAGAACAGUUUCAGGUUAAGAACUGACCUCCAGAACGAAUUAAGUUCUUAACCCGAGGUACCACUCUAUCUAUCUAUCAUCUAUCAUCUAUCUAUCUAUCUAUCUAUCAUCUAUCUAUCUAUCUAUCUAUCUAUCUAUCUAUCAUCUAUCGGCUUGUUAGCAGGUAAGAGAUGGUCAUGAAGUUAAUUGCUACAGGCAUUGCCUUUCAAUAUCUGCCCUCCUUGCUUCCCUGCCUCUUUCCCCAACCAAUCAACAGCUUUCGGGCCCUAAGAAGAAUCUGAGAAAACGUCCCGCCUCCCCAGGACCUGCAUUUUGAACAUGAUGCGUCAAGAAGAGUAUCUCUUCCUAAGAGCUAUAGCUCAAUGACAGAGCAUCUGCUUUGCAUACAGAAGGUCCAUGUUUCAAUCUCUGGCAUUUCCACAUUAGGAUGGGACCAGCUUCCUUUUGAAGCUCCAGAGCAGUGGUUCUCAACCUGUGGGUCCCCUGUUAUUGUUGGACUACACAUCCCAUCACCCCUGAGCUCUGGCUAGCUAGGGGUGAUGGGAGUUGUAGUUCAACAACAUCUGGGGACCCACAGGUUGAGAAAGGUUGCUCUAGAGCAUUGUUUCCCAAACUUGGGUCUCCAACUGUACUCAGACUACCAUUCCCAUCAUCCCUGACCACUGAUCUUGCCAGUUAGGGGCGAUGGGAGUUGUAGUCCAAAAACAGCUGGAGACCCAAUUUGGGAAACUCUGUUCUAGAAUGUUGCCUCUAGCCAUAGUAGCCAAUAUGGAAGUAGAUGGACUGAAGUUCUGACUCUGUAUUAUUCAGCUUCCUAUAUUCUCAUUACUCUGCAAUCUAUACAGUGCCUGGUGCUUGCCUUUUUACCCAUUGGCCAGAAUGUUUGAUGGCAGGAGCAAGGUUACUUCUUAGUGAGCCACUGAAUAGAACACCAAAAAAGCAGUGUUCUGUGUUUUUCCACAAGCAAAAGGCCUAGGACAUGGGUGGACAUUUUUGAGGGAGUGGGUCACAGGCCACAUUUCUCUAGAGAUCACUAGCAUUACAGGUGUAGCAGUGAGUGGUGCCUCAGUCAAAACUGGCAAAAAGAACCAGCCCAUUCUCUGUUUCUUCUGCCCCUUCUUUCUCUCAUUUUCUAACACUGCUUCUCUCUCUCUCUCUCUCUCUCUCUCUCUCUCUCUCUCUCUCCAACCCAAAAAGUAGCAACAAAUUAUUCUUGCCAGGGAUGAGAACUGCAGAUCGAUUUUGAAAUUAAGCCAAGGGCCACAAAAAGUGAAAUUGAGGGCCACAUACAUCUAUGGUCAGUGUUGGUGCUGACCUUUAAAUCCCUAAACGGCCUCGGUCCAGUAUACCUGAAGGAGUGUCUCUACAUCCAUCGUUCUGCCCGGACACUGAGGUCCAGCGCUGAGGGCCUUCUGGUGGUUCCCUCGCUGCGAGAAGCCAAGUUACAGGGAACCAGGCAGAGGGCCUUCUCGGUACUGGCACCCACCCUGUGGAACGCCCUCCCAUCAGAUGUCAAAGAGAAAAAUAACUACCAAACUUUUAGAAGACAUCUGAAGGCAGCCCUGUUUAGGGAAGCUUUCAAUAUUUAAUAGGUUAUUGUAUUUUAGUGUUUUGUUGGAAGCCACCCAGAGAGGCUGGGGAAACCCAGCCAGAUGGGCGGGGAAUAAAUAAUAAAUUAUUAUUAUUAUUAUGGUUUAGGCAUUUGCUUUUUCAACCAAAAGCUGAACAUUCACAGAGAGGGUCUGGAUUAUCCCUGAAGGGGGGCUGGGCUCUGAUGUUAGUACAGUCCUGGCAUUUGGUCAUAAUGUGGACAGGAUGGGUAACUGACAUCACAAAGGACUUCCACCUCAUGCUGUUAGGUAUCGUGGAUGAAUCACCUUGGGCAUGAUCCAGCUGCUUUGAAGCACCAUUGACUCGAAUUGGAAGGCUGCAAACCUUUCCCGCUGAAACCAAUGGGACAGAAAAGUUUUGAACUUUGGCUGAAUUGUACCCCGUGAUUUGGUUAUGUUGACAUUUUGUAUUAUUAUUGCUAUUCUUAUUCUUAUUAUUUGUUAGUUGCUUGUUACUCAAAGGUCUCCAAGCAAGUUGAAACACAUUUAAAAUAAUAAAUACUGUUACACACCACCCUUAUCUCCAACCAGCAGUGCACACAACGUUCCAGCCACUUACCCAGAGUUUGUGUUUCUUUUGAACACUGGGCACAGGGUAAACUGCAGUGUCUUUAUGAUAUAUGGUUUAUUUAGACAUAUACAACCUGAAUUUAUAAUGAAGAGAAGGUUCAGAGCAUUCACAUCUCAAGAUGAUUAUUUAGGAGCAGCAGGCUUAGGUCUACAAACAGAGGAAGCAGCCUUUCUUCUACCCUGCUCCAGCCAGCCCAUCAAGAGUUCUUCUGGGCGCCUUUCUGGCCUGCUUUCCGAACCUCUAGCAAAGUGCCACUAUUCAUUCAGCCUACAUCACCCAGCACUGAAAUCUUAACCAUUUUCUUGCCUUGCCCACUAACACACACAGCUAGAGAAGGAGCCAUUCUCCUCCUUGCCUGGCAGUUUUGCCCUCUGAUGGUUUCCUCGAUGGGCCAUCACUGGCCUUUGGCCCCUGCUAAUGGCCCAUCUUAGCGGCUAUUCCAAGUUGGAAUGGGCUGCUAGCAUAAACUAAUUACAGAGAGGUUCAUUGUUUCUCACAGUUUAAUCAAACCUUGAUUAAUUCUAAUUUUUUCUAAAUCCAGGGAUUAUGGGGAGUCUUCCCCCCAGGAACUCAUAACAAUACAUUGCAGUAUACUAUAAAAACAGAACACAACAUAGUGAUGGUGUUUAAUUACAUAUAGGGUGUUUUUUUUGGGGGGGGGGUGUAUGUGUGCUCAGGAAUAAAUCUGCUUCUGUAUUUACCUACAUGAUAUUUGCAUUUUCAGACCUUUGUUUGUCAUGCUUUACAUCUUUAAGAUGUAUAUUUUUUAAGAAACUUCAAGCAUACAGUUCAAAUUUAGACACCUGAAUUGUACAGAGGCCCUAACUGAUGAGGGAAGUAGCACAUAUGCAGCCAAAUAACACCGUACGGAUGAAAACUGACAGUUAUUUGGCCAGUUCUAGUUUUUUUUUACCAUAAAUAUACAGGUGUGAGUUGUACAUGCUCUUAUCAUCGCAGGGAAUGGAAAAUUUCCCCUCCCCACCACCGAGUGUCACGUACAUCAAACACAGACAGCAUAAGCUAAAAGUAGAUUUUUACAGUCCUUUGUGUACCCUUUGUGUUUCCUGUGAAGGGGAACCACAAAACAGAAAUACACCCACCGCUUGAAGUUUCCUUUCCUCAGAGCUAAACUCAGCUGAGUUUUGUAUGGUUUUGGCCACAGCUACAUCUGCUUUUAGCUUUCUAAUAUGUGGUUCAGUCAAGUGAAAAAUUCAGAAGACGGUACCCAUCACUUCGUAAAUGUUGAGCUCAGGCCCCCAACAUCCUUUACAGCUGCCAUCUCACAAACCCAUCAUGUCACCAGUGUCUCCUCGCAUCCCUAGACCUCAAAGACUUCUUUCAGAUGUCACAAAACAGAGUUAGUCAGAUGUGGGUACUUCUGGGGCCAGCUGUGAUGUGAUGUAUGUAGAAUUAUCCUCCCUCCUUUUAAUCCUUACAACAGCUCUGCGAAGUAACUUAGGCCGAGUGAUAGAGACUGGCCUGAGAUCACAAGAAUACGAAAAGAGCUUGUUGGAUUAGGCCAAUGGCCCAGCACCCUGUUCUCAUGGUGACAAACAAGAUGUUUAUGGGAAUCCCACUUGGUGGGGUAAUCUCAUGAGAGCAGUUCAACAUGACUGUGGUGGAGUUCAAAUCCAGGAGCCCUUGGUCCACACCUGACUCUGUCUCCAUUACAACCUGCUGAGAAAAGGAGAGAAAUUGGACACACCUAAUUAGACAUACUGGGACGCGGGUGGCGCUGUGGGUUAAACCACAGAGCCUAGGACUUGCCGAUCAGAAGGUCGGCGGUUCGAAUCCCCGCGACGGGGUGAGCUCCCAUUGCUCGGUCCCUGCUCCUGCCAACCUAGCAGUUCGAAAGCACGUCAAAGUGCAAGUAGAUAAAUAGGUACCGCUCUGGCGGGAAGGUAAACUGCAUUUCUGUGCACUGCUCUGAUCACCAGAAGCGGCUUAGUCAUGCUGGCCACAUGACCUGGAAGCUGUCUGCGGACAAACGCCAGCUCCCUUGGCCUAUAGAGCGAGAUGAGCGUGCAACCCCAGAGUCAGUCACGACUGGACCUAAUGGUCAGGGGUCCCUUUACCUUUACCUAAUUAGACAUAGCACUCUCUGUUAACUUCAUGUUAAUUUCAUGCUGACUCCUCUGCUUAGAUCUGGGUGUCCACUGUGGUGAUUUUGGGCACCAUGGUACCCUCAGACACCCUUUGUUAUCUGUCAAGGACUUCCACCCCGACCCUCUCACUAUAUACUAAUCUUUUAAAGCUGAUUUUUUUAUUUGGCUCUUGGUACAUGCUCAAGCCAGCAAUUUGUAUUCAGUACCCGAACGGAGUUUAUAAUCCUGACAGACAAAAAUCCAUUCUUGGUUCCCUCACCUAUGAAGGAUUUAAUAUCGGCAGCAUAAUUUAGGAAGAAGAAAUAAUUUUUUUUGAACAGUUGCUGCUGUUAAAUAACUGGCAUUUUAAAGGUGAAGCUAUCAUAUCCACACUUUCUGAAACAAUGUGAGAACCAAAGAACUAAAAUUCGCACUGAUCCAAAUUUUGCAGUGAAAUUCCCCAACCAACCAAGGUUGACAAAUAUGCCUGCAUGAGGGGAAAGUGUACAUUAAAAUGAAUAAACGAGUGAAAAUAACACACACAAAUGCAUCAAAUAAGGGGAAUUUGCUUGGGAAAAUGUGUACAUGAAUCAAAACUGCAUUACAAUGUGUUUAUUAGGAGAAAUUUGCACUAAAAUGCUGGCACCAUUCAUCAGUAUUCAUGAGUAUUACAUCACCAUAGGUGCUAAGAGUCAUUUUCGUACCUCACGAUAUCUGGACAGUUUUAUCCUAAAGUAUCUCCUACUAUGUUUCAUUAACUGUGUUGUUUUCUGAUCCACGUAUAUGAUGCACUUUCUCUCUGCCAAUAAGAGAGAUUGCUUGCUUGAUUAUUUUGGUUAAUUACUUCAGAAAUGUGAACUGAAUUUACAGUUGGAAAACUGAGAAACUGAGAGAGCUGAGAUAUCUUUCAUCCCUAGGAACGAGCAACCUUACAAAUUCAGAAAUUCUAGAGCUCCUUCUGAAUUCAGAAGAAUUCUGAGCAACCUUCUGAAUUCAGAAAUCCUAGAGCUCCUUCUUUUGGACCAGAGCGCUCCUUUGCUUUGGAUCAUAGUUCGCACCAGCCUCAGCAUUUCUGGGGGGAAUUUCUGAAGCGUGAUGCUUGUUUCUUGAUCUUUGGCAAGUCAAAACCACUUUUUUUGUGUGUGUGCUCUGGUUUUUACUUUUUGAAAUAAAUAUGGCAACCCUAUGAUAGGAGCUGUAGGCCCAAACAUCUGGGGGUUGAGGAAAGCUGGUCUAGGAGAGAUCCCUUGGCAAUAUCCACAGGAUCCUCUUUCAACAAGCUUUCAAAGUGGAGGCUUCUCCCAGUUGAUACCUAUGUUGGAUUUGAAAUUGCUUUUUUAUAUUUGCAAUUGCUUUAACUGUUUUUAUAUAUGCCGAUGUAUUAUAUAUCCUUCUAUCAUAUGAUGGAAUCGCUUUGAGAUGUUUCCUAGGGCGAUGAUGAAGAUGGUGUCCUUUUUUGAGGCUGUGCUGCUCUUUAAAAAAAGUUGGAAAGAUCUCUGCCAUGCGACCAGACAAUCCUAUAUAUAAAUGAUUAAAAUUAAGGAAGGUCUUAGCAAGAGGAAGUGUAGAAUAUUUUCUUAAGCUCAACGACCCCAAAGUAGGAUAGCGACUUACAAGCAACAUCUCCUUCCUUCUGCACUUCCUCCAACUUGAUUAGUUGUGCAACAAAACUCAAAGCCAUGGGAACGGGAAGAGCAGAACAUCUGUAUGCCAUUGCUUAGCGGGGGUGAAGUUUGCAUUUAGAAAGCAAUUGCAUUGUUGGGCUAGAGACAACAGGAAGCAGGAGCAGACAGCCCCUCGCCCCUCGACACAAACACACACAGACUUAACCUACCACUGAACCUUUGCCCUUGAGUGACCAGUGCUCUUAGGGCAGAGGUCAAAAGGUGGCAGGUUGACAGAAAAUGGAGCUCUAUUGGAUCAAACUGAUCGUGAAAAAUUCCUUUGUGCUUUGCUAUUCUGCGUUGUCGUUUUACACAAGCAGCGUGCUCAUGUAGUGGAGUCUGGAAUGAAUAAGUUAGGGGGAUUCCUCAUAUUGGUAAGAAAGCAAUAGGGGAUGUUAGGAAGAGCAUCAACAGGAAAACAUGUCAAGGAAUACUGCUAAAGGCCUGGAAUCUAUGCAAUCAAUAGGUGUGCAAUAUGUUCGGGAAGUGGGAUUUUUUUCUCCUGAAGUUGCUAGAGGAUGGUUUUGUUGUUGUUGUUUUGGUGGGGAGGGGAGGGGAGGGGAGGGGAGGGAAGGGGGAGAGGUUGCUAGCUGAGAGAUUUCCUUCCUGUAUGAAAAGGAGUUGUCCCACAGUCUGAAGUGACACACUCCAUUUUGCCCUGUCAGAAUCUGGAGUCAAUGUGUGUCACUGCUGUAGCUCCUGAGAUGUUCUGAUCGCAAGUUCCCAGUUCAGCUGUAAAAGAAAACUACAUUUAAUUAACCCAUGAAUUGCAUCAGGCCAAGAAGGGAGGAUGAAAGAUGUAAAGCAAGCACAGAAUGUGAAAGGUCCAGACCUAUCUUGGGUUAAUGAGGCAGAAAAAGUUGUGUCCAAACUUCUCCAGUGACACAGGAAGGCCAGUGUUGGGAUAGUGUCGGUAUACAUAGUAUAGUCACUACAUGGUGCUGGACUUAGUUGUAUUUGGGUAAAGUUAGGAGUUUCCCAUUGCUGUUUUGUUCUUGUUUAAGACAGGUGCUGUGCCCAACAUUUCUCCAAUGAAAAUAGGGACAUCCUAAUCAUAAUCAACAACUUUAUUAUUUGUACCCUGUCCAUCUGACUGGUUGCCCCAGCCACUCUGGGUGGCUUCCAACAUAGUUGUAUCGUUGCUUAUCUCCUUGGCUCGGGGGUCACAUAACUCCAUAUCCUCCAACAUCUCUCUGAUGAAAAGAGGGAGGUCCUCCAUACCCUCCAAAAGUCAUCUCAUUCUUCUAAUACAUAUCGAUGUUCCUCUGAAAAGCCAGUGUAAGGGGCCAAGAACACUUGCUAGGCCAUUCACAAAAAAAGCCCUUUUUCUUAUGAGGAUGCUCUCUGGGUUUCGAGUGGAGGAAGGGUUUAUGUUUCUCAGUUAACUAAGAGGGUGGGCUUAAAGAUCUCCCCCAAACUCAGCUCAAGGAGUCUGCAUGCACAACGUCUGAGAAAUGAAAACCUCCAGGAAGUCAAUGGCCUUUCUUUGCAAGUCAGCACUGGAGCUAUAGCCUCCAACAUUUCUCCAAUGAAAACAGGGACAUCCUAUUCCAUCAUCGGGACGCGGUUGGCACUGUGGGUUAAACCACAGAGCCUAGGACUUGUCGAUCAGAAGGUUGGCGGUUCGAAUCCCCGCAACGAGGUGAGCUCCCGUUGCUCGGUCCUUGCUCCUGCCACUCUAGCAGUUCGAAAGCACAUCAAAGUGCAAGUAGAUAAAUAGGUACCACUCGGGCGGGAAGGUAAACGGCGUUUCUGUGCGCUGCUCUGGUUCGCCAGAAGCAGCUUAGUCAUGCUGGCCACAUGACCCAGAAGCUGUACGCCAGCUCCCUCGGCCAAUAAAGCGAGAUGAGCGCCGCAACCCCAGAGUCAGUCACGACUAGACCUAAUGGUCAGGGGUUCCUUUACCUUUAUUCCAUCAUCACCAUCAUCAUCAUCAUCAUCAUCAUACCCUACCCAUCUGCCUGGGUUGUCCCAGCCACUCUGGGCUGCUUCCAACAUACCGAAUUUUUCACUCUAUAACACGCACCCGACCAUAACACGCAUGUAGUUUUUAGAGGAGGAAAAUCCGUAGGCAUGCCACCCAUAGGCAUUCCCUCCAUAACACGCACAGACAUUUCCCCUUACUUUCUAGGAGUAAAAAAGUGAGUGUUAUGGUGCAAAAAAUACGGUAUAUAAAAAUAUAAUAAAACAUUAAACUUUUUUUAAAAACCCUACACAGGGCUGCCUUCGGAUGUCUUCUAAAGGUUAUAUCUCCUUGGAUCUGGGGUCGCAUAACUCCAUAUCCGCUAGCAUUUUUCCAAUGAAAACAGAGACAUCCUCCAUACCUUCCAACAUUUCUCCAAUGAAUAUAGGGGUGCCCUAAGGAAAAGCGGAGCAUUUUGGGAUCAAAUCAGAAACCCGGGAAGCUUCUGUAAAUCUGGGACUAUCGCUGGACAAUAGGGACACUUGGAGGGUCUGUAGUAAAGUUCUUGUUUUGCUUCUGGACUUAAUUCUGCUUAAAGGGCCCACACAGUAAAUGUAAGGCCAUUGCAGACCAUAGGGUUCCGACAAGCUUGUACCUGGCUAGAUGCUUAUAUGGCCAUUCCUCUCUUUCAAGGUUAGUUUUCUUUAAUCAGUGGUAGUUACAUACGCUAGAAAUAGCUUGUAUUUCCCACAGUGCUUGUUCCCAGCAUUGGUUGGAAGGGCGAAGGAAAAAAAAAUAGGUCAGCUGAAAGUUCUGCAGCUAUGAGACUCUAAUUUGACUAUGCUACGAAAUGCAUUCAUCUUGUAGUAGUUAGGAAAGGAUUUUCCUGACAUUCUUAAUUAUUUUGAACGAGCAUUUCCCCCACCGUGCUCCUCAUGGAUGCCAAGUUUUGAGAAGGAAGUGCUUUGUCUUUCAAUUAAAAAUAUCCAAACAACCCCACAGAGUCAUGAUGGGAGAAACCAAAACAAGUCUUCCACUGCAGAUAGAUGGAGGCUGGCUGAUCCUGAUCCAUGGGGAGGGAGAGGAAGCCCCCUUUGCUGACCUUCUGCCCUCUGGCAUCACAGGUGGCGAAUGAGCACAAAGGAGACUUGGCUGUAGAUGCCGCUUGGGUACUUUACGUCGGCCGGAUUGUAAACUUGUCCAUUUACGAGCACCCCGUGGGGUUCCCACCAAGUCGGCAGACACAAUUGCGGCUGGAGGGAAAUCGCCAUAUCCAUGAAGUCUCCUCUGAUUGCCGCUAUUAAUAAAAUGGGGGCCAUAAACAAAUUUACAGCGUGUUGUUUUCAAGGCGGGGUAAGGGGUGGGGGCUCAGCAAUAAAGCAAGUGUGCAAAGAAUGGCAUGAAGAGGAGGGUGGAGGGAGGAAAGGAGGAAGGAAGAGGAAACCAUGUAAGCCAGGGCAACAGGAAUGGAUUGGGCAACCCAGAAGAGAACACAGGCCAUGUGGGUCUCAAAUGUACCCAAAUAGUUUUUUAUCCGCUGGAUGUUCCACCACAAAAGCCAGCUUGCCUUUUAUGAAUUUAUGUCUUUUAAAAAUGAAGUAAAAUAAAUAAAUAAAUCAAAGCUGGCUUGCCUUUUUUCCUGAGCAAAGUCGAAACAGAUGCCACUUUUAACAUUUCCAAAUGCGGACAAGAGAAGGCUGAAGUAUGGUGAGAUGUGUCUUGCUCUUCCCGUUUCUGGAGAUGUCCCAGAUGUUUGUGUGCUCCUCUUGUUCUGCUGCUGCUGUUUUCAAAUGGUAGUUCAGCUAUGCUUCUUUCAUAGAAUCAUAGAGCUGGAAGAGACCCAAGGGUCAUCUAGUCUAACCCCCUGCAAUGCCGGAAUCUCAACUAAAGCAUCCAUGACAGAUGGUCAUCCAGCCUCUGCUUUAUUUCAGUUCUUUGUAUCCUGAUUUUAAAAUGAUCUUCCUCCCCACCAAGAAGCGCACGUCAAUGAAACAAUAAAAUAAAUGAAUAAAUAAUUAAAUCUAUGUAGGAUAUUUUCUUUCUUCAGUUUUUUUUAAAAUAAUGUUUUAAAACACCUGAAAGCUACCAUACUCUGAAUUCAUCCCAUUGGCCCACCUAGAUCAGUUAAUGCAGUGAUUGACAGCAGGUCUUUAGGGUUUUAGACAGGACUUAUCGGGAAUACUGCAGUCAGAAGCUGUGCCCAAGCGGAAAGCACUUAAAUGUCUGGGAAAAUACAGACGUAUGGUAAACCACGUUGGCAGUGUUGUGUUUGGUGAUUUUCCUUAAAAAAGAAGAAGCAUUUUUUCUGUCCAGAUUUUUACUGCUUGAAAUAUGGCAACCCUACUCUCUGCAGACAGAGCCUUUGUUUCAUGGAUUAUAGUCCUUCCCUCAAAAGUACAGCCUUUCCCCUAUGAAAAUAGGGACAUCCUAAGGAAAAGCAAGGGAUGCGGGGGGCACUGUGGGUUAAACCACAGAGCCUAGGGGCUUGCUGAUCAGAAGGUCGGCGGUUCGAAUCCCCGCAAGGGGGUGAGCGCCUGUUGCUCGGUCCCUGCUCCUGCCAACGUAGCAGUUCGAAAGCAUGUCAAAGUGCAAGUAGAUAAAUAGGCAAGUAGAUAAACGUCGUUUCCGUGUGCUACUCUGGUUCGCCAGAAGCAGUUUACUCAUGCUGGCCACAUGACCCGGAAGCUGUACACCGGCUCCCUCGGCCAAUAAAGCGAAAUGAGCGCCGCAACCCCAGAGUUGGCCACGACUGGACCUAAUGGUCAAGGAUCCCUUUACCUUUACCUUUACCUUUACCUUUACCUUGUUCUCUGCAGACAAAGCAUGGACUAUAAUCUUUCCCCCAAAAGUACAGUCUUUCCCCGAUGAAAAUAGGGACAUCCUAAGGAAAAGCAGGACAUUCUGGGAUUGAAUCAGAAACUGGGAUGACUUCUGUAAAUCUCUGGCUUUGCAUGCUCACAUGUGGUAGGCCCAAUCAGGACUUUGCACUGAUUUUUCUUCCUUGGAACUGUCUGCUUACAUACGUGGUGGCAAAAUCACGCAGAUGCCAGAUGCACACAGGGACAUGGCUAUUGUUAUUUUGCUUCCUUUGGCUGCGUGUAUUAUUUUGUGUUUUUCAGGAAAACAAGAGACCAUAAAAGGAUAUGUCUUCCUGCAUCAAUCACAUUAAUGCCUGGAAACGGAACCAUGUAGCAAGUAAAUAAAUUGCUCCUUUUAGGAAUCCUAUAUUCCUUACGUUGAAGAUAAACGGCGCUAUUAGAUGUCAGUGAGAAGAGAGGAAUGCUAAAUAGGGACAGAUUAUUUAUACUUUUCUGAUAUCACAAUAAGCUGCCACUCCAGCCUGCAAUUUGUAUUCAGUUCAUUAGUCCUUAAUUAAUGCCCCCAUAAUAUAAAGAGUAAACAAUGGCAGCUCUCCUUUGUUGCUUAAUUAAGCAGAACGAGACUUCCCGAAACGUGGAACCUCAGGAGCGGAAGGUAUUGUGCCUCUAUGCACGGGGAAGCCAACAAUAAUAUGAAAAAAUGCAAUUGCUUUGCCAAGAUUUGCUUCCCUGUGAAGUUGAAGCCUCUGCAAGUUACACAGAGCAUUGUCAGACAUAUGUGGAUUCCGCUUUUUUCCUUCAACACAGCUUGAGAAAUAUAUUUUUCAGUACCAAUCACCUCCUCAUCAAUCUGCAGGCUUGCCAUCUGUCUUGAGAAACUUUGACUGACAGCGCAAACCUACGUGCUUUUAAAAUUCAUUAUGAAUUACACUUAAAUCCCACUUUUCCUCCAAGGAGCUAUCAGUCUGAACUAAAUGGUAUGGGGACAUUUGAAGCUGCCUUAUAUUGAGCCAGACCUUUGGUCUAUCCAGAUCAGGACUGUCUAUGCUCUGUGGUAGCAGCUAGAGUGGUGUAGUGGUUAAGAGCGGUAGUCUCGUAAUCCGGGGAACUGGGUUCGCUUCCCCGCUCCUCCACAUGCAGCUGCUGAGUGACCUUGGGCUAGUCACACUUCUUUGAAGUCUCUCAGCCCCACUCACCUCACAGAGUGUUUGUUGUGGGGGAGGAAGGGAAAGGAGAAUGUUAGCCGCUUUAAGACUCCUUCGGGUAGUGAUAAAGCGGGAUAUCAAAUCCAAACUCUUCUUCUUCUCCUCUCCAGGGUCUCAAAAGGGAGUCUGUUUAAGCCUCACAUCAGAUUGUACCUGGGGCCUUCCUGUCAAUGGUGGUACCAUUGAAGUUGACUUGGGGCUGGAUCUACUGCCAGGAUCCUGAUGUCAAGCAAAACAUCACGUUCCAUAAACAGAUGGUUCUGCCACCCACCAGACAAUGACAUGGCGUGUUUUCUAUCUGAAUUUGUUUUUAUAUGGAGGAGCAUUCAGACAUGGGAAUAGCCCAGCACAAAUGACCAGCUAACAAGAGAAGGCUACUGAUCAUCACCAUCACCAUCACCAUCACCACCAUCACCAUCACCAUCACCACCACCACCACCACCACAAUCAUAUGCUACUCAUCUGACUGGGUUACCCCAGCCACUCUGGGUGUCUUCCAACAAAUUAAAACAUAGUAAGACAUCAAACAUUAAAAACUUCCCUAUACAGGGGAGAUGUCUUCUAAAAGUCUUCUUGACAUCUUGAUUGGAGGGUGUUCCACAGGGUAGGCGCCACUACAGAGAAGGCCUUCUUCCUGGUUCCCUGUAACCUCACUUCUCACAGUGAGGAAACUGCCAGAAGGCCUUAGAGCUGGAGCUCAGGGUCCGGUCUGGACAAUGGGGGUGGAGAUGCUCCUUUAAAUAUAUAUAUAUAUACUCACUGACUGGGAAGGUAAAAGCGAGGCUUCUCUGAGGGCUGGCAAUCCAUCUGCAUUGUAAAUUAUGGGGAUAAUCCAAUUGCAUGGCUUCUAGACCUCUCUGCGGAGGUUAACUGGAUGGAGGUAAGGCCGGAUCAUGCAGAGUGGCGUCAGGCAGACUCCUCUGAGAGUGGGUGGAUGUGUGUCUUGGAAUGCAUGCAGGCCAUAUAAACGGCCAACCAGUCACUUUUUAAACCUUUUGCUGCACUUUAGCCGUUCUCUCGCAGCGCACUGCUGUAGCCCACCUCUGUUUGAGAAUUACUGCAAUAAUCCACAAGCUGCCACUGCUUAUCAAAUCAUUAUAAAUUGCACGGCUGAGCGUUAUUCAACUGGCGAACCAUCCACUAGAAGAGAGCAUUAUUUUCCUGGCCUUCCCGCAGCAGGUUAGCUACGUUUCUGAAUAGUUUCCAUGGAGAUCCAAAUGAGUCGAGCUUCCUAAAAUCUGAAAAAUGAAGAGAUCACGACAACACAGCAAAUUGCUGUGGUAUUGUGCCACCGGCUUGCCUGCUCCCGAGAAGCACAGCUAGAUGUCAUGGUGGCAUGAAGAAAGCGAGCAGAAGUUAAGUUUAUUACAAACCCUCUUCCAAACAACUAGAAAUUUGUUGUCCAAAUCGGUAGCUCUUUUCCCUUAGGGUCAAAAUAAAGGAUAUUUUAAAUGUAUGCUCACAAUUCAGUAUCUUGAACUUUUUUUAUAUAUAAAUCAUUUUGAUUAAGUUCCCCAUUUUAACAAUCCAAUCCAAUCACAUUAAAUAUUCCAAAUUAUACAACUACAUUUCAAUUAUUCCAAAUAUUCUGCCUGAAUUAUAAUUUAUUUGUUGGGACUUUCCAUGCUUCAAUUUGGUGGGGCUCUGAUCAUCUCAUAUCUCUGCUGCCUUGGAUAGUCUCAAUAGUUCCUUUAAAUCUUCCUGUUGUUAACCUUUCUUGAACUUUUUUUUAAAGAAAAAGAUGCAGACAGUGUUUGUGUGUUUGAGAUCUAGACUGGGACAGCUACAAGGGGACAGGUUUACAUGUAAGGAUACAGAAAUGUGUUCAUGCAUUUUAUGCAUUGUCGCCUGUAAAUUAUCCAGAUGCGUUGACCAGAUACUUUAAUUUAGAGGAUAGGAAUGGGCUGAGAAAUUUGGUUCCGUUCACAUUUAAAUGUGAGCAUACCAAAGCUUGCACUUUCCCAAAUAAGAACCAAAAGGAAACAGAGCCAUUCUAAAUAAUUCACGCUUCUCUGAAUGUUGCCACGCAGUUCUCCAACCAAGUGUUUUGUACAUGAAGGCGUAUACUAGGGUAAAGUCUGCACAUACAUGCAUAGAUUGUUGAAAAUAACACACAUAUUGGGGAAAUUGCGGCACAAAAAAUGUUUUUUUAGGAGAAUUUUGGAUUAUUAUUAUUAUUAAUAAUAUUUGUCUAUACUGAGUGUGGACACCAGUGCUGAUGCACAGAGUGACACCCUGAAUAUGGGUCUUUGUCAGGAUGACGGUAAGGCUGAACUCCCUGCAGGCUUGGGCAAAACAGUUGGUGAGUUUCUUGGUAAUGGCCGUUUAAAUAUGGGCCAUUCAGGUAACAAAGGAAGGGGCUCUGUGCUAAAGGAAAAAUGGAGGAUGCUCUCUCCCUCAACUAUCUGGUAGUUAAAAAGACAAGAGCAAGACUGGUUGCAGGCAGAAGCCUGUGAGACAGAGCCAUGCCUGAUUUCUGCAGGAAUCCAAGACUGUAGCUCUGAGCAGAGCAUGAACUUCUUGGGGUGUUGAUGCUGUGACCCCUCCCCCCCCACUGUAUCCUCAGAUUUCAUAUGUGAGUGUCAAUAAACCAUAGAUCAUAAAGACACCACAGUCUCUGCUGUCCCUCAUUCUGAGGAAACAAAACCCCGGGUAAGCUCUCAGAAAGAACCCCUGGAACUGACGGCUGAUUCAGGACUUUAAAUUGUGCUCUUAUAUCAAAUUUCCUUUUCUGCGUAUACUGUAAAGUGGUACCUCAGGUUAAGUACUUAAUUUAAAAUUUGGCUGUAUAAUUUGGAACUAAUGUGAUUUGGAUAAUGUGAUGUGAUUGGCCUGUUAAUAAAAAAUAUUUUUUUUUUAAAAAAAAGAAUGAACCUCCGGAAUGAAUUUUGUUGGGGGUACCCAUACAUCAAGCUCCGCACGAGUCCAAAACUCCGAACGAGUCCAAACAUCACUUAUAUUACUGCUUUAAUUAGACAGUUCUAUCCAGUUCAAUCCAGAUAGUCCUUUAUUACUUUCUUUCUCUUCUUGUUGUUAUCGUAUAUUCCUUUCUUUGCGAUCUCUGAUAAUUUUCACAAGCAGAUUCCGGAUGUCCAUUCUUAACCUGAAACUGUUCUUAACCUGAAGCACCACUUUAGCUAAUGGGACCUCCUGCUGCUGCCGUGCUGCUGGAGCACGAUUUCUGUUCUCAUCCUGAAGCAAAGUUCUUAACCCAAGGUACUAUUUCUGAGUUAGCAGAGUCUGUAACCUGAAGCGUAUGUAACCUGAGGUACCACUGUAAUGUUUUACUGUUGCUAUGGCCAUUGGCCAUAAAGAAGGCUGAGCGCCGAAGAAUUGAUGCUUUUGAAUUAUGGUCUGGAGGAGACUCUUGAGAGUCCCAUGGACUGCAAGAAGAUCAAACGUACCCAUUCUUAAGCAAAUCAGCCCUGAGUGCUCACUGGAAGGACAGAUCGUGAAGCUGAGGCUCCAAUACUUUGGCCACCUCAUGAGAAGAGAAGACCCUGAUGUUGGGAAAGAUUGAGGGCACAAGAAGAAGGGGACGACAGAGGAUGAGAUGGUUGGACAGUGUUCUCGAAGCUACCAGCAUGAGUCUGACCAAACUGUGGGAGGCAGUGGAAGACAGGAGUGCCUGGCGUGCUCUGGUUCAUGGGGUUACGAAGAGUCGGACACGACUAAAUGACUAAACAACAACAACAUGGCCAUUGGCUAAUGUGAAUAAAGUUUUAUCUUAUCUAUCUCAGAACCCCUGGAAUCUUGCACCGCUCAGAGGUUGGGGUGGCAUGUAACAAUAUAUAAACUAGAAGCUUCCCAGUUCUAACCUCAUCCCUAUCACAGGCAAGCCACUAUUUUUCUCAGGCUGCCAUCUGAGGGAAUGAUAAUAGCAGCUUGCUGUAGUAACACAUUACAGAAAUAUUGUUACGACAAGUACUUAGAAAGCGUGGUUUUAGUGCUAAGCAUUAGCCUCUAGUUCUAACAACCAACAGUCGUACCAGAUUUAUGGCAGCUUCAAGUUAAUCUAAUUUACAUAGUUUGCACAGUAAAUGUAACUUUCAGCCGUGUUGUUUAUUUUUCUUUAUUAAUUGUUACCAGACCUUAUUGCGUUUACAUCGAUCAAAAUAGUUCUGUAACAAAGGCUCUAACGACUUGCAAAAUCUAUACAACCACAUAACAACUUUUGAAAAGAAACCGGCUUUACAAUAAAUCUUGAGUAGCAAGUUUGGGCCUUAUAAGAAUGAUAGAAUAGGAACAUCAGCCGAACAGUUGACUGUUUUAUGAAUCUCACGAAGACAUGCUCUACUGUUCUAUAUUAUCCCCAUAAAACUGUCCUGAUUACGAACGGAAUGACGAGAGAAGCAAUUCUGUGAAGUUCCACAUGUUACAAAUAUAAUAGUGCACAAAAGUAUUACUGUUAUUAUGAGACGGGAAAACCUUUUGCUUAAUUUAAUACUUUUUUAAACCUUUUCCGAAUGCUUUUUCAUACCAGGGAUGUGAGCUGAUGACAACAUUUUUAGCGGUGAGUCCAUUUACUCCAUUUUGGUCCUUUUCCUCCUGUAUCUGCUCAGGGAAAUGUUUACUCUUGGUUUGCAGCCCAAAGGACUCUUCACGGUGCCAGUCAGCUCCCCCUUAUGUCACUCAGGAACAGCGAUGGUCAAACCUGUGAGUUUCAGUUUCUUUCAGCUAGUUUUAAGUUCCGCACACGCAAUAUUUCUGCAUCAGCUUGAGGUGUUUUUUUUUUUUUUAAAGCAUUAUUUUGCCUAAUAUCUGCAUCUUUGCAAGCAAUAUCCCCAUAGAAUGCAUUUUGGUAUGUGAAUAUCACUAAAAUUUACAUUUUUAUGAACCUUUUGUUUAGUAUUUGCAUUUUUAAAUGCAUGAUUUGGCAUAGCAGUUUGGAGAAGUGGAGGCUGCAGCUUUCAGCGAGAUCUCGUGGCACUCCACAAGAUCUCAUGAGAGCUCUGUGAGGUCACACCAAAAGCCAUUGUAUAGUGAUCCAUGUAACUGACUCUGCCCCACCUGGCAGAUGACUUUUGCAAGUGGCGGUAUGGUUCCUUUAAUUCAGAACACACACAGAGCAGCUUUUGCUAGCAGAAAGGCAGCUUUUGCUAGCAAAAUGCAAGUAAGCUUUUGCUCAACUUAGAACAGGAGUUUUAGGCAAUAUGGAUUCAUCUGUUAUUAUCAUCAUUAUCUUCUUCUCUUCCCUAGCCAAGGCCCGUUCCAGUUUCAACAGUGCUGUCAUUCCCCUUCCCCCAUUGAUUGAUUGCAUUCCCACGUGAGAAAAGCUAAACAGUUUGCCCCAUAGAUCUCUGGUUUGUUUCUUCCACCAAGCCUAUGUUUUGCCCUGAGUCCCGGGCACUCAGCUAUCCAGCUGCAAAUAAAACGUUUUAAAUGUGUUGUAAAGUGCAAUAUACAAAGGUGACACUAGGUGGUGACAGUGAGCUAUGCCAAAUUCAAUGUAUUUUUCAAAACUUUUUUUUUAAAAAGCAUUUUCACAGCGCUUUUUAUAUGUGUGUAAAUUCCACCCCAGUCUUGCGAGGGCGGGGAAACAGAAUUUGUUCUGUUAUAUGCCAUAUGUGCUUGGUCUUUGCCAUGCAGAUGUAUACAAUAAGUCGAAUAUCUAUUCAGGCCAGACUAACCUGCAAUUCAGAAAUGCAUAUGUUAAUGAGAUUGGUAGGAAAGAGGGCAACAAAUAAAUAAAUAACCCGCCAAUGGUUUCAAUUUGAGAGGUCUGGGAGAGCAAGCUAUUUUUAUACUAGGAUGCUUUUCAUUUGAAUCAAAAAAUGCUUUACCAUCUGCUUUGCCAGAAGUUCAAAAGGACUGGUAACAAACAUUUAAGCCCCCCCCCCCCUUUUUAAGCAAAAAGAAAAAGAAAACCCUCUAGGAUUGGCAAUAAGCCCUCAUGAAGAAGCAUAUGUAGUUGAACAGCUUAUCUCUAUCGAGCUGUUUCCCUUAAUAUGUUCCCAAUUAUGAUUCCAUAUAUUUGCUCGUUGUGACCGGCUGAACAAUAUGGCAGUAAUUUCUUAACAGGCCUUGCUGUUCUUUGAACUACGAGUACAGAGGGCCAGAACGGAACCAGAUCAGUGAGACAGAGUGCUGGGAAGUAAAGCCAGAUGCAGUCCCUGGAGAUGCAUUUCCAGAUGUUCUCCAGAAAGAGACCUGAGCUAACAGCUGGGAACACUCCCCUCCUUCUUCAGGAAAUAUCCUGAAGGUUUUUUUCAUUAAGAGCGCAGCCGUUCUCUUAUUGAGGUCCGCACCCCUCUAAGGAGGCUUUCUCAAUAGGCACAAAAUGUUAGCAAAUUUAACAACAAAGCCUUGGUGGGGAAGCGACACCCGAGACGUUGUGGGUUUGGAUGGGGUAGGGGUUCUUUUGCACCUGAAGCAACAAGUUUAAAACGAUUCCCUACUCUUCUGGAAUGGAACUGCCUCCCCAACUGCUGCCUGAAGUGCUGCACAGAGAUAUAUUGUUGUUGUUUACUCGUUUAGUCGUGUCCGACUCUUCGUGACCCCAUGGACCAGAGCACGCCAGGCACUCCUGUCUUCCACUGCCUCCCGCAGUUUGGUCAGACUCAUGUUUGUAGCUUCGAGAACACUGUCCAACCAUCUCAUCCUCAGUCGUCCCCUUCUCCUUGUGCCCUCCAUCUUUUCCAACAUCAGGGUCUUUUCCAGGGAGUCUUCUUUUCUCAUGAGGUGGCCAAUGGAAGGCAAGAAGAUUGCCCCUCUCUUGGAAUUUGCUGCCUGGAUUUAGUGCUGCUUCACAGAAGUGAGUUGCUACCCGCAUUAUGUAAGUGCUGAAGUCAACCCCACAAGUUGGUCUUUGUCUAUACGAUGAAUGCUUUACCACAGGAGUUGUCAACAUGGUGCGCUCAUAUACGUAAAAGACCCCUGGACGGUUAAGUCCAGUCAAAGGCGCCUAUGGGGCUGCGGCGCUCAUCUCGCUUCAGGCCAAGGGAGCCUGCGUUUGUCCACAGACAGCUUUCCAGGUCAGGUGGCCAGCAUGACUAAACUGCUUCUGGUGCCACGGGACACCGUGAUGGAAACCAGAGCGCACAGAAAUGGUGUUUACCUUCUCGCCGCAGCGGUAUCUAUUUAUCUACUUGCACUGGCAUGUUUUGGAACUGCUAGGUUGGCAGGAGCUGGGACAGAGCAAUGGGAGCUCACUCUGUCACAGGGAUUUGAAGCUCCAACCUUCUGAUCGGCAAGCCCAAGAGGCUCAGUGGUUUAUGUGGGGAUGCUUAGGAUAAUAGGCAAGGAAAUAUUUGUUAAGUAUUAUCCUUCCUUCCUUCCUUCCUUCCUUCACUCACUCACUCACUCACUCAGUCACUCACUCUAGUAGAUGUAGCAGAGCAAAGCCCCUCUAUAUUCGCGGAAGCUAGUUGAUUAGAUUCGUUUGAAUCUUUACAAGAUGACUAAUCCAAUCUGACUUGCCCAGAUCGAUUCCUCCUGGUGUCCCCUUUUCUCCCUCUUGAAAUACAAUAAAGACUCAUGAGUCUGUUUUUAAAAGUAUAACAAUAAGUUUACUCAUAAGUUACUCACAGUACAAAUCCUAGAAGGCAGUCUUUAAGCUUCAGGUUAAAACAUACAAUGUGGCUCGCUUCCUUUGUGAGGAUGGGCCUAAGUGCUGCUGGCUGAGAGCCAGAGACUUAAUUGAACUGAAUCGAACAGAGGACUUCCGGGUUAGCGCCUCCGGCAAUGGCGGAAUUCCUCUGAUUGGGAGGAACCCGCUCCGUGGAAAUCAGGGUCUGGCUACCACGGGUAAGGCGGAGACCCACCAAAAACCACAGGCGGGAGAAGCCUGUGGAGGUGGGAUUCGGCUGGCACCUUUUGCGCCCCCCCACUCGCGGGGAAACCCAGUUUCGGGGGUCCGGAGCAACGUGGGGUGAGUGGCGCGGUGCUUUGAAUCGACUGCUUCUUUCACGGAGUGAAAAUUGUUCCUGUGGACAAUUGGAUUUUAAACAACUACCCGUGAGUAGAAAGGAAAAUUGGACCUUUAAACAUCUUAAUUUGGCACCGAAACGGGAAGGUUUCAAACAGGAAGUCCGCCUUCCUCUUUUGUAAAUAGAUAGAGCAAAGACGCUGCAAGCUAAAGUCUUGGAGAGCCUUUUGUAAAGGACUAAAUUUCCAUCAGUUAAAAUUAUUAAACCCCCCUUGGAAGCAGGAGAAGAGGGGGGAAAUUUUAGAUUGCCUAAGCCUGCAGGAGAGAGAGUGAAGAAAGACAAAUUGCCACCGUUUUAAACCUGGGAACGGGCUGUCAGUAAGUUUGACGUUUUGGGAAAGUCCAUUGACUGUGAAUAAAACGUAUGUUGACAGAUAGUUAAAUAAGAGAAAUAAAUUGUUUCCAUUGUUUCCUUUUGCACUUAAAAAGGAGCAAAAGUAACUGAAAGAUUGAAACUAACUUUGUUGCUGGAUCUGCGUUUAAAAGGACGGAUACAAAUAGAAAUUGUUUCCUCUAGAGGGAGCUUUUGAAACUGUUGCAGGAGUGGAGCUGGGGAAUUUUCCAGCUGCAGAGAUAAAAGACCGUGAGAAUCAGAGAUUGACCUUGGACAAGAAUGUUGACAGAAGAAGCCUUAGUGAUUGUAUUUUGCAAGAUAAGUGUUUUAUUGGAACAGCUUCAUGAGAAGAUGGAUGUGAUGACUAUUAAAAUUGAUAAUUUGGGACAAAAAAUGACUGAUUUGGGACAAGAAGUGAAUAUCUAUACAGAAACUACUCAGGAAUCGAUCCAGGAAUCUACUUCGACAUGGCAAGUUGUGGAGACGAGGGAGAAAGUUAUUGUAGAACCUCAAGUAAUACAAGUGGAGAGAGCCUCAGUCUUACAGAGACAAUUUGAUGAAUAUAAGCUGUUGCCUUCUAUGUCUGAAUUUAGAGAAAACCAGUUGAAACACGUCCUGAAAUAUCUUUUGGACUUUAGUUUUGACUAUGGAGAAUGGGCUGACCAGUCGAGAAGGAAUAAAGACAUUGUUAGGUUGGAGCUUCCCCGAGAUCUACUCCUCAAUGUUAAAGGAAGGAAAUUAAGAAUAAGAUCAGCAGAAGAUAAAGUAAAGUGUAUGUAUAAAUAUGAAGAAGAUCUGCAGAAGGGACAUGGAAAAGAGUUAAGAGCCUCGGACAGAAGAUCACCAGGUUGAUGGACCAUAUGGAUUGAUAGAAAGGACUGGCAGAAUCCGAGACCAGGGAGAAGAGACGGUGGAAGAAGAUUGGAAAAAAGUUUUAAAAAUUUAUUUAUAGAAACAUUGUAAAAUUAAUGAGUGUUAGAAAAAUGUUGGAAUGAAAUUACACGGCUUUAGUAGAAAUGUUAUAAGGAGUUAAGUACAAAUAAGUUUUAGGGUAUUAAUGGUAAGAUAAGGUUAAAAUAAAUUAUGAUAAUUAUAUGAUAGAAAAUAGUGAAAGAUGGAAAGGAUUUGCUGAAACAAUUAAUAACUAGAACACAAAAAAGGGAGGUGCAAGGAGGUCGAUGAAACAAGUUAAUGAAAGACAAAGAUAUGGAAAUAUUGGAUGUGUUUUUAAUUGUUUUUGCUUUUGCUUUUGAUUUGAUGUAUUAUGUCUUUUGUUUUUUGUUUUUUUAAUGUAUAGUAUUGAUUUGCAUUGUUUACUUUUUCUUUCUUUUUUUUUCUUUCUGCAAUCUUUAAACCUUUAAUAAAUAUUAUUUUUUUAAAAAAUAUGAAUCGAACAGAGUUGAAAUCGAACAGAAGAGAAAAUGGCUGUGUGACUCUGCCUUUUACAGAGUCACACUCAUCUGCGGAGUCAUUUACAAGAGGAACCGGAAGUUACAUAUCCCCCUGUCUCUGUCCACUCUAGGAAUUAAAGCAAGUUGUAAUUGACUGUACUGAUGUAACACAUCCCACAGUUUAGAUCAGGCAUAGGCAAACUUGGCCCUCCAGAUGUUUUGGGACUACAACUCCCAUCAUCCCUAGCUAACAGGACCCAUGGUGAGGGGUGAGGGGAGUUGUAGUCCCAAAACAUCUGGAGGGCCGAGUUGGCCUAUACCUGGUUUAGAUCACAGCGCCACCUGCGCUCAUACAUCACUAGGCCACUAGUACCUUUUAUGGGGGCCUGAAAAAGACAUCCAAGAGGCCCUGGCUGUUCAGGCACCCACAAUUUUUUUGCUUUGGGUGCCCAGUCUCCACCUCUGCCGCCACCAUCUACCACCACUUGCUUCUGGGGUGCAUCCGCAGUGGGGAUGCAGGCCCUGGCCCAGUUGCUGUCAUGGCUCCAGAGUGCGGAAAUGCACCUCGCUGUCAUGACAUGUCAUGAUGUCAUGACGUCACAUUGACGUCACAUUGACGUCAAAUUGUGCUGAUGUCAUGAUGGCAUGGCAUGUGCACACUGGGCACCCUACUAUGGACAAUCGCCCCCCAAAAGAUCAGCAACUGGGUCCGGAUUUUUACUUCUAGGCAAUCCUAGAUUUGUACUCCUCCAACUAAGAAUUGAUCCUUUUGAAUUAUGGUGCUGGAGGAGACUCUUGAGAGUCUCAUGGACUGCAAGAAGAUCAAACCUAUCCAUUCUGAAGGAAAUCAGCCCUGAGUGCUCACUGGAAGGACAGAUCCUGAAGCUGAGGCUCCAAGACUUUGGCCACCUCACGAGAAGAGAAGACUCCCUGGAAAAGACCCUGAUGUUGGGAAAGAUGGAGGGCACUAGGAGCAGGGGACGACAGAGGACGAGAUGGUUGGAUAGUGUUCAUGAAGCUACCAGCAUGAGUUUGACCAAACUGUGGGAGGCAGUGGAAGACAGGAGUGCCUGGCUUGCUCUGGUCCAUGGGGUCACGAAGAGUCAGACACGACUAAACAGCAACAACAAACUAAUGUGUGGGUCAAAUCCUAUCUACGCCACAAGAUUCUGCUUUUAUCUCAAUUUUAUGAUAUUUACACCUCUCAGCAGUUUCGGUGCAUCAAAAUAUGUCUCGAAGUAAUACUUUGAUAGAGAAAAAUAGCAUUUGAAAAUACAUAUUUUGAGAGGACUGCUUUUUUAAAAAAUAAAUAGACAAAUUGCAGGCGGAUGUGGAAAUGGAACAGAGCAAAACGUGUGAAAGUGCCACAGACAGGAAAUGGACAUAUUUGUCCAUUCUAAUUACAAUGAAACGAAUGACUGUUAAUGAUGGGUAAAAGGCAGUUACUACCAUUUGAUCAUAAGCAGAAAAUUAUUUUGUAGCAUCAGCAAUGGAGUUUCCCCUGCCACAUUAAAUUUGUAAGUGAGUAGCUAGAGUUUGCAAAUGAGGUGACCUGGGGUGAAAUAGUGGAACCGCAUGGGAUAUUUUUUCUAGCCCCCAUCAUUUAUGCCAAAUUGCCUCAGUUUUAUUACUAUACAAGUCCGGAGGGGGCCGCAGUUGACAGGCAAUGAUUUAUGGUCAAAUAGAUAGUGUUGGGUAUCAGACAUGGCACUGUGGGUGAGACUUAACACCAUUCGAACAAGACUGUGGUUGUGGUGUCUGGCCAGUGGCUGAAGUGAAAAUUCAGAGUGACAACAACAUCUCGCCAAGAGAUGGUAUUGUCUCAUGGACAUUCUUUUUUUAUUUCAAAGGUCAAAACACUCCAGAGUCAGCCAAAUCUACUCCAUCAGAUCCACAAGAAAGAAUUAGAGCUAUGUUGACUUUUUAAAGGCCUUCUUUGUACAGAAUCAGACUUUGAAAGUAAGGUUUGUGUUUCAAGAGGUGGAAAAAAUGGGUAAAUGGACAAAUCUUGUACCUCAGUAGUGUGUGCCGGUGUUUUAAAUGGGGUGAGGGGAAUUCCUCAUGCCAUAUAUCUGAUAAUGGUACCAAGUCGGAGAAGCUCCACUUUUCAGAACUAUACAAUAGACUGCACUAGGAAGCUCAUGUAACACUGAAUGGAAUGGAAAGUGACUGGGCUCCAGCAGACCCUCCAAGUCUCCCUAUUUUCCUGGAAAAGUCCUGGAUUUACAGAAGCUGUCUCAGUUUCUUAUGUGAUCUCGGAAUGUCCUGCUUUUUCCUAGGACGUCCCUAUUCCCAUCGAAGAAAUAUUGCAGUUAUGCGACCCACAAGGCAAAGAGAUAAGUAACUAUACCACCCUUAGAAGACAUAUAAGCAUCUGGCCUGGUACAAGCUAGUCAGAACCCUCUGGUAUGCAAUGACCUUACAUUUACUGUGUGGGCCCUUUAAGCAGAAUUAAGUCCAGAAGCAAAACAAGAACUUUAGUACAGUCCGUCCAAGUGUCCCUAUUGUCAAGCAACAGUCCCAGGUUUACAGAAGCCGUCUGGGUUUCUGAUUUGAUCCCAGAAUGCUCUGCUUUUACUUAGGGCACCCCUAUUUUCAUUGGCGAAAUGUUGGAGGGUAUGGAGGAUGUCCCUGUUUUCACUGGAGAAAUGUUAGUGGAUAUGGAGUUAUACGACGCCCGAGCCAAGGAGAUAAAUAACUUCACCACCUUUAGAAGACAUCUGAAGGCAGCCCUGUGUAGGGUUUUUUUUUAAAAAAAAAGCAGUGUGAAAUGUUUCGGUAUGUUUUUAUAAAUGUUGGAAGCUGUCCAGAGUGGCUGGGGCAACCCAGCCAGAUGAGUGGGGAAUAAUGAUGAUGAUGAUGAUGAUGAUACUGAUGGAAUAGGACGUCCCUAUUUUCAUUGGAGAAAUGUUGGAGGAUAUAGCUCCAGUGCUGACCUGCGAAGAAUGGACAAUGACUUCCUAGAGGUUUUCGUUUCUCAGACGUUGUGCAUGCAGACUCCUUGAGCUGAGUUUGGGGGAGACCUUUAAGCCCACCCUCUUAGUUAACUGAGAAACAUAAACCCUUCCUCCACUCGAAACCCAGAGAGCAUCCUCAUAAGAAAAAGCUCUUGGUUUUUUGUGUGAAUGGCCUAGCAAGUGUUCUCGGCCCCUUGCACUGGCUUUUCAGAGGAACAUUGAUACAAGAAUGAGAUGGCUUUUUAAGAAAACAAGCCAUGAAAUUUCAACACAGGGAAAAUGCCUGAUGGUUGUUGUGGUCUGGAGGUCCUAACACACAGGGCAGCUGCAUGGUAAAUCCAGGGCAUUACAGCUAUUAUGAUUUCCCUGGUAACUAUUUCAAGCCAUGGCUGGUCUUAAGGUAAAGGUAAAAGGACCCCUGACCAUUAGGUCCAGUCGUGACCAACUCUGGGGUUGUGGCGCUCAUCUCGCUUUAUUGGCCGAGGGAGCCAGCAUACAGCUUCCAGGUCAUGUGGCCAGCAGGACUAAGCUGCUUCUGGUGAACCAGAGCAGCGCACGGAAACACCGUUUACCUUCCAGCCGGAGCGGUACCUAUUUAUCUACUUGCACUUUGACAUGCUUUCAAACUGCUAGGUUGGCAGGAACAGGGACUGAGCAAUGGGAGCUCACCCCAUCGCGGGGAUUCGAACCGCCAACCUUCUGAUCGGCAAGUCCUAGGCUCUGUGGUUUAACCCACAGCGCCACCCGCGUCCCAAUGGCUGGUCUUACCAUGCAGCAAACCAUUAAUUUAACAUAUUUGUGUAUCGCUUUUUUUAGGCUGAUCUCACAGAACGUUGCACAUGAAUUUAACACGAUGAGAAGCACCAUUGUCAUUUUAUUUUUUCACAACAACAACAGUGCCGACAACGGUUUUGAUGAGGCGGUCUCUUGCUUCUACUCUCCUCUCCUCGGGGCAAGAGGAUUCACCAGAAGCCCAUGUAGUGGCGGUUGAGGGAAGGAGAAGCCAGCACUGGGCACUAGAUGGUGACAGCUCACCAAACUGCUUCUGCAGUUGGAUUCAAAGCUGGAUGGGGUAUACAGAAACCGGAACGCAAUGACAUCACGUUUCGCUUUAUAGAAUGCUACCGGGAGUAGGGAGGAGAGGAGGAAACGUGAAGUUGCUACUUUUGGCUACAGUUCCAUCGCUCCCGUAAUGUCUCGUCCCGCCCUUACUCUCCGUAAAUAACCUCUUUCUAGUGUUUCUUCCCACACUCCACAGAUCGCUCCAGAGGGUUGCAUGCUCCCAAAUGCCCACACCAUACCUAGGAAUCUGUAGGACAAUUGCACAGUAAUCCCAGCAGGGAUAUGGUGCCUUUCCAGUGAUGGGGAGAGAGGAGGUAUAUCACCCCCCCUUGCCUAACAGUGUUAGGAUGUACGUUUCUUUCUCUCCCCCCGCCAAUCCCGCUCUGUUUCGGUUCCACAAUGUUCCAUUCUGUACCUCAUAAGCACUUAAUUUAUUCCCACUCCUUGGCCUGACCUGUAAUCCCCCCUCUCCUCACGCAUCUGACCCAUCUGUGUUUCAUUUCCCGCUCAUCAAUGGCCAAAGAGCUAGGCCUAGGCCCUGUUUGGAACCAUUCGACAGGGCUUGGCAGCGUUCCCUCUUCCUGCACCACAUCCUCCCCAGAAAAAUAUGACCAUCAGAUCGGAGAACAGAGUCUGCUUUGUCCCCCGGCAACCAAGAUCUGGAAGUGCUUUCAAUGAUUUGCACUCUAUACCCACUCAAAUGCAUUAAUGUGAUCAACAUUGGGCUUGUUGUGGGCAUUUUCCCUCUCUCUCUCUCUCUCUCUCUCUCUCUCUCUCUCUCUCUCCAGCAAAUAGCUUGCUAACAUUCCAGGCAUGUACUUCCCUGAAAACAAGACCGAGACGGGGCCCUGAAUAUUCAAUUGGAAAAUCACCAAGAGCGAGAGCUUAGCUUGGCACGGCUGGUGUUGAUUCUUAAUAAGUGACUUCCUAAAAGCUGAGGCAUGGGGCUUACGGCUUCAAUGACUUGUUUGAAAAAUAUUUUGUAGGUGCCUCAUACCACUUUAUUUCCUGUGGUAUGCGUCAUAUUGUGAGUUAUUCCGAGCCGGGCUGUUUAAGAGUGCUCGCAUUUUUUUCCGAGGUUGCGGGGUUUUUAACAAAAAAAUGUGCUUAUACGAGAUGAGCUCAUAGCUAUUAGUGCUGAUGUAGACUUAACUACUUGGAGACCAGAAACCUCUGAGCUCUAAUACCUGCUGGAGUGCUCGGGAAGGGGGGGGGGGGCGAAGGAAGGAAACCUGAGUACCCAAGUGGAGGGUGGGGGGGGGUCUGAAAAGAGUUUAAAAUGCUUUUCAAAGAGACAGUAGCACUCCGUUUAUAUGAGGAGAGAGAUUCUGGAACAGUCUACACCCUGUCGUGUAUACGAUCAACAGCAAUUCAACACAAAACCUUUCAUUCUCAUUAGAAAAGAUCACUUUUUGAGGGAUUGCCCAAUUAAAGGGGCCUGAGCUGCUCAAACACGAGGCUCUUCAGCAUAACUGUACCCAAGGAAAGCCAUUUCAUCCAGGAGAGCUGGGCACGCUAGUUAGGGUUGCCAUUUUCCUGGACAUACCUGGAAUACUGUGGUCAAAAGCAGUGCCCGGGUGGAAAUUGGCGAGAUGUCUGGGGAAAUCUGGAUGUGUGGCAAGCCAUGUCGGCAGUGCCGUUUUGCCGGUUUUCAUAAAUAACCGUUCAGAUUUGCUCAAAAACAGCAUUUUUUUGCGGUUUUGCAAAUAAAGCUCAACAACUUUGGCAAAAAGAAAAGAAAACAAAAUAAAACAAAACAGAAAAGCUCAACAAGUUUUGUGUCUGGGUUUUCACUUUUUGAAAUAUGGCAACCCUACACUAGGUACAUCCUUAUGUUUAUUCAUUUAUUUGGGCCUUUCAUCAACCCUCACCACCAUGAUAAGGCAAGAUUGGCUGUGUUGAAGGGAGGUCCAACUGGCACUUGUUAUCAGCAAGCAGGACUGAGCCCUAGCUGGCUCAUUCAGCCAAUCCCAUAGCAUGAUGGUUUUGUGAUGUCAACUGGAGAGGUUCAUUCAGCCAUUGUCUCCUUGGCUUGGUCCCCUUUCUCCCUAAUCUCAAAGAAGCUGGAUUGUAUUAUGUGGAUGAUACUUGAAAACCUGAGUGGCAGGAUUUGUGCCAUUUUUCUUCGGUGGAAGAAGAUUGGAAAAAGUUUAAAGACUACUUACAGAAAUACUGUAAAAUUAACGAAUGUUAGAAAAAUGUUGGAAUGAAGUUAUAUGGCUUUAGUAGAAAUGUUAUAAGGAAUUAGGUAUAGAUAGAUUAAUAGGGUAUUAAAGGGAAAAAUAAGGUUAGAAUGUGUUAAGAUAAUUAUAGGAUAGAAAAUAGAGGAAGAUGGAGAGGAAUUGCUGAAACAAUUAAUAGAAGUGGAAGACAAAAAGGGAGGCGUGAGGAGGUCGUGGAAACAUGUGAAUGAAAGAUAAGAUAUUGAAAUUGGAUUGUGUUUUGAAUGGUUUUUGUUUUGUUUUGUUAAUUGUUUGUGUUAGUGUUGUGUAGUGUUUUUUGUACGGUAUUGUAUUGUUGUAUUGUUUUUCUUUGGUUUUUUUGUAGUGUUGUGUUUAAAUUGUUGAAAAUUAAUAAAUAUUAUUUUUUUUUAAAAAAAAGUAUUUGUGCCAUUUUUUGUUUAGCAGGCUGGUAAAAAUGAUGAUGUAUUAACCCUUGGAGGGCAAACUCAUCCCUGUAUUUUUGGCCAAGGAGCUCACCUUACUGUUACAAGGUUGGUUUUAGAACACCUAGGACUUAGCUACGCCAGUCAAAAAACAGUGCUUCAAAUGUGUUAUAAACAUGCAACACCAAACGGUGCUGGAGAGCAAAUAAAAUAAAAUAAAACAAUAAAUAAAUAAAUAAAAAUAAAAUAAAAUAUUUGGGAUUUUCCAUAGCAGUUUUUUUUUUCUUUUGUUGUAACCGGUGCUUUUCUUCUAGAUAAAGGAUGCUGGUACUGCGUACCCUUGAAUACCCCCAGAAAAAAAGCACUGGUUAUAACGAUUUUAUUUUUGACUUAUUUACAGCGUUUUCUUCCUGUGUGUAGAUCCACUCUUAAGACAGAAAGGAUGGGUGGUCCUGUUGGGGGGUCUCUUAUAUGUUUUAUAGUCCUUGUGAAAAUAAUCUGCCCGGAUUGUCUUGCUCUGGCCAAGGAUAGCAUGUCAGGUUUAAACCUGCUUCCAAACCAUGGCUUUUGAUAUAAAAUGGCUUUUCCACACAUUGUACAGCAGCAAAGUCAGGUUUGCUACUCUGGGCAUGCUAGACCAUGAGUCAUAGGGCACACAUUUUCAAGGUGUAUUAUUCAACAUCCACAAGCUGGGCCUUACAGACCCUCCAAAUAUCCCUAUUUUUCAGGCACAGUCCCGGAUUUACAGAAGCCAUCCCAGUUUCUGAUCUGAUCCCAGAAUGUCCCACUUUCCCUUAGGACAACCCUAUUUUCAUCAGAGAAAUGUCAGAAGGUAUGGAGGAUGUUCCUAUUUUCAUUGGAGAAAUGUUGGAGGUUCUGGAGUUAAGUAACUAUACAACCUUUAGAAGACAUCUGAAGGCAGCUCUGUAGGGGGAAGCAUUUUAAAUGUGUAAUGUUUUGUUAUUUUUUAUAUGUGUUGGAAGCCACCCAGAGUGGCUAGGGCAACCCAGUCAGAUGGGUGGGGUAUAAAUAAUGAAAUUGUUGUUGUUGUUGUUAAAUAGGACAUUUCUAUUUUCAUUGGAGAUAUGUUGGUGAAUAGGGCCUUAAUCUCUGAAUGUUCAUAUGCACUUAUUAUCUUAGAUGCACACAAUAGGGGGUCCAGGUUUUGGGGCACAACACCAUCUCUGUGUGGGCCCCAAUCCCUCAGUGAAGAAGAAGAAGAAGAGUUUGGAUUUGAUAUCCCACUUUAUCACUACCUGAAGGAGUCUCAAAGCGGCUAAUAUUCUCCUUUCCCUUCCCCCCCCCACAACAAACACUCUGUGAGGUGAGUGGGGCUGAGAGACUUCAAAGAAGUGUGACUGGCCCAAGGUCACCCAGCAGCUGCAUGUGGAGGAGCAGAGACGCGAACCCGGUUCCCCAGAUUACGAGACUACUGCUCUUAACUACUACACCACACUGGCUCUCACUGGGUUCACCACUGCCUCCCUGCUAUUGUCACCAAGUGACAGAGAACAAGACUUCAAGCAAGCAGAUAGCAGUCGCUCCUGAUGCUUCUCCUCUCCAAUGCCACUGCUGUAGCCUGGUCUAGGGCUGCCAUGUUUCGAAGAGCAAGGAAGAGCACACAUUUGCCAACUCCUACUUUUAACUAUGGAUCGCUAUGACGACUCUACCCAUGAAAAAUAGGACAUGUCCCACAAAAAGGGAGCUAGGGGAACCCUCUGAAAUAUCUAGUAGGGAAAUAGAUUGGAUGGAUGGAAUAUGGAAGAGCAGAGUAGAUAAAAAAAGCAGAGAGGAACCAAAGGGAAAAGGGGUGAAUUGACAAAGGUGCAGACAGAAAGGUUGACAGAUUUUUCCAUAAAGGAUUUUGCCAGCCUAAAAAAGUUGGGGUUGAAGAAUCGGACCUUUGAAAAUUCCUAUACAAAAUUAUUUGAUUUGUACGCCUCCAACUAAUGUGUGGGUCAAAUCUGAUCUAUGCUACCCAAUUCUGCUCUUCCAUCAAUGUUAUGGACCUACUACACACCUCUCAGCAGUUUUAAUGCAUCAAAAUAUGUCUCGAAGUGAUAUUUUGAUAGAGAAAAAUAGCAUUUAAAAAUACAUAUUAGGUUGGAACUCUCGAAUUCUGUGCAUAAAUCCGUUUAAAAUUAAUUCCUCCUCCAUGCCCAAACUGAAGUUUUCACCUUGUUAUGAUUAAGACAUUUUAAUGUGCCCCAUUCACCUUUGUCUUCAGGUGAAGACUUAGUCCUGAAUGGUUCAUUUGGCUCACCUGCUUGCUCUCUUACACCAUCCAGCCUGUAUUUCCACGCAACUCUCUUUCUUGGGGAACCACAUACAAAAAUCUCAGGAAACAGUGAGCUUAAUUGGGACCCUGGUUAAUAGUUUCACCUGAAAAAAUAUGUUUCUUAAAAAAUCAUAUAUGGCUUCACUGUGCAGAUUUUCUUGUCAGUAAACUCUUAGCAAUGAAUUGCAUUAAUGGCACUCCUCUUAAAUGUUGAAAGCAAAUGAGAAGCCAAACUAAAUAACCCAUAAAUAUCCAAUACAAGGACCCACUCUGCAUUUCUGACAAGCAUUGCUCAAGCAUGCAUUAUUUCCCAUUAAGAAAAAUAUCUCUUUUUUUAUUUGCAACACUAAAGUAGGAGAAUGCGAUCUCAUUGCAACUUAUCAUUUAGCAGACACCAAUAUUCUUAUUAUUGCAGUGGCGUAGCGUGGGUUGUCAGCACCCGGGGCAAGGCAAGUAAUUUACGCCCCCUAACCUAUGGAUUUUAGCACUCGAGUCUCUUUCACUAGAUUAGGGUGCAAGUGCACCCCCCCAGAUGUUGCGCCUGGUGCGGCCGGCCCCCCCUGCACCCCCCACGCUACGCCACUGUAUUAUUGUAAAACUAGACCUACUAUAUGCUGCUAAAUGCAUGGUGGUGGCCUGGCUACUGCAUGACACCACUGUUUUUGCAGUUCAAGGCAGAAAAACAGAUUUAUGGUGGCCACUCCAUAUUUGGCUUGGUGGGUUACGGGUUGUGAAAACCCAUUUCAAACCAUCGUCACUAAAUCUUACCCACUCAUCACAAACAUGGGUAUUCUUUUUUUCCCCCCAGUAGAAAACAUCUAAAUCUGGUGCUCUUUGACAUAAGAUGCUGUUUUUAUCAGGAUAUGUCAAAAACAGUAGUUCGUAUUAGAAAGUUUAAUAAUACUAAUACUAAUAUAGUCAUACCUCGGAAGUCAAACAGAAUCCAUUCUGGAAGUCCGUUCGACUUCCAAAAUGUUCGAAUUCCAAAGCACGGCUUCUGAUUGGCUGCAGGAAACUCCUUCAGCCAAUUGCCAGCUGUGGAAACCCUGUUGGACAUUUGGCUUCCGAAAGAACGUUCAAAAACCAGAACAGUCACUUCCAGGUAUCAAUUGUUCGGGAGCCAGAACGUUCAACUCCCAGGGUGUUCAGGAGCCAAGGUACGACUGUACUAAUAAUAUUUACAUCCGGCUUCCAGCACAUAUAAAAACAUAAUAAACCAAGAAACAUUAAAAACUUCAUGAUACAGGGCUACCUUCAGAUGUCUUCUAAAAGUUGUGUAGUUAUUUAUCUCCUUGACAUCUGAAGGGAGGGUGUUCCACAGGGAGGACACCACUGCCGAGAAGGCCCUCUGCCUGGUUCCCUGUAACCUCACUUCUUGCAGUGAGGGAACCGCCAGAAGACCCUCAGAGGUGGACGCCAGUGUUUAAUACACUACAUUUACAACUCUACAUUUAAAAAUCCAUGUUUAAAACUCUUAAAGAACAACCUGCGUUUAGAAGUUGAACUCUUAAAAAAAGCCACCCUCAUGUGAACAAGUGUUUGAUAUAUGCUUGCUACUAAAUUUAAUGGGGUAGCCAAUUUGGUUUCCAAAGACAUGGACUUUGGAGAGAGCCAAUGUGGUGCUUUCCGGUCACACAGUUCUCAUUGUUCUUAACUAUUGGCCAUCCUGGCUGAGGCUCUCCAUAAUUUCAGACACAGGACACUUCCCAGCCUUACCUAGAGAUGACAGGGAUCACACAGGUCAAUUAAACCUACCUGGAGCCCUGCACUUUCCAUGCAUGUAGGGUUCCACAGAGACCAUGGUUCUCCUGAAAUGAAAUGUUAUUCCAUCUUCCUUUCCUCCUUUCCAUGCAGCUCACUGGAUGCCAUAUUUAUUUUCUUUACAACGGGUGCUGAUGGUCUUUAUUUCCCAAUCCUUCAUCAUUGCCAUGAAAUUAUUUUCCCUUCUGGCUUUUAAAACACAAAGUUCACCUUGCGAUUUCUGUGGUCUUGAGGGUUGGCAAAUAUUCCUGACGAAUAUUUGAAAAACAUCAAGCAAGAGGCUGCAGAUGUCAGCAUCUUCUAAAAAAAAAAAAAAAGGUGGGGGGAAAUAGUCCAGUCAUGGAAAAUAUGCAGAAAUUAAAAGAGGUCUAAAAUCCACUGGCUGGACUAUGACAUGCAGGGAGUGCAUAAAGGGUUAUGUAAGAAAACAUUUCUAAAGUUGUUUAAAUGUUUAUUUUUUUAAAAGGAAAAAACCCUCAGAAUAAAUCUGCAAUGCACAUAAAUGUAUGCAUCAAUUGGAUAAACGUCAUGACAGAUGUGUUUAUGAGGAAGAAUGAAAAAAGACAAAGAAAAUACAGUGGUCUUGGUUCUCAAACGACUUAGUCCCCAAACACCAAAAACCCGGAAGUAAGUGUUCCGGUUUUCAAACGUUUUUCGGAAGUUGAACGUCCAAUGUGGCUGUCGCCUAUUGUUUCUGGGGCGCCUGCACCAAUCAGAAACUGGGCCUUGGUUUUCAAACAUUUUGGAAGUCAAACGUACUUCUGGAACGGAUUACGUUUGAGAACCAAGGUAUCACUGUAUUUGGUGCUUUUGGUUUUGCUAUUUAUUUUGUGUUUUUGUUUUUGAGGCUUUUUCGGUUAAUUUGUUUUUGUGACUGUGUGGAACCCAGUUCAGCUGAUUGAUUGAUUGUGUGACUGGAGAAAUGGAUAAAAGUCCCCCCUCCAAACAAUGACUAUCAUCAGAGCAAGUAAGAAAAUAAUAAUAAUAAUAAUUUUCAUCAUCUACAAUACUGUCUUUUUUAUUUUAUAGUACAGUACAUUGAUUAUUAGGGACGCAGGUGGCGCUGUGGGUAAAACCUCAGUGCCUAGGACUUGCCGAUCUCAUGGUUGGUGGUUCGAAUCCCAGCGGCGGGGUGCGCUUCCGUUGCUCGGUCCCAGCGCCUGCCAACCUAGCAGUUCGACAGCACCCUCGGGUGCAAGUAGAUAAAUAGGGACCGCUUACUAGCGGGAAGGUAAACGGCGUUUCCGUGUGCGGCUCUGGCUCUCCAGAGCAGCUUCGUCACGCUGGCCACGUGACCCGGAAGUGUCUGCGGACAGCGCUGGCUCCCUGCCUAUAGAGUGAGAUGAGCGCACAACCCUAGAGUCUGUCAAGACUGGCCCAUACGGGCAGGGGUACCUUUACCUUUACAUUUUAUGGAUCAAUGGUCUCGUUAGAGAGUAAAAUUCAUGUUAAAUGGCUGUUUUAGGGGUUGUUUUUAAAAGUCUGGAAUGGAUUAAUCCCUUUUGCAUGACUUUCUAUGGGAAAGCAUGCCUUGGUUUUGGAACGCUUUGGUUUUGGAACGGACUUUUGGAACGGAUUAAGUUUGAGAACCAAGGUACCACUGUAUUCAUAGAAUCACAGAAUUGCAGAGUUGGAAGGAACGCCUAGGGUCAUCUGGUACAACUCUCUGCAAUGCAGGGAUCGCAACGAAAGCAUCCUUGACAGAAGACCAUCCACAUCACUUGUGCAAGUUGUAUCAUUGUGCAGGCUGCGUGUGUAUCAUGUGCAGGUCGUGUGGCCCUGGCCCCCUCAAUUGUGGGGGCAAGCUGGUGCGCCUGCGUUGCAGUGCAUGCUUGGUUGUGAUGUGUCUUUCUCCAGUUUGCAAACACACCACCUCGGGCCUAGCGAUAUUAGGGGCCUCCUGCUUUAGCAAGUUUGGCCAAUGUUUCAGCCUGCAGAUAUUGCUGGACUAAAACUUCCCCCAUCCCCCUGACCACUGGCUGUGUGGCCUGCGACUGAUGGGAUCCAAGAAGGUUGAAAAGUCUCCAUGACGGAUAGACCUCAUAUACAGGGGCAGAGCAUGAGCUUUCCAAUGUCCCCAGUCCGAUCCCUGUCACCUCCCAGUAUAUCAUUCUGGGAUGAUAUAUAAUGAACUGAAAAAAAGGUUGAAAAUAACUUGUGUUAAAAAAAACAAGAAGCUUUUUUAUUAGGAAUUUAAGGUACUGACAUUCCAAAGGAAUAGAAAAUACUCUUUAUGUAUGCGACAACAGCCGCAUGGAUACUGCUAGCCCAGAGAUGGAAAGAAGAAAGAGUCCCUACCGGAUAGGAAUGGCAAACUAAGCUGAUGGACUCUGCUGAAAUGGCAAAGUUGCCUGGAAAGCUCAGGAGCCAAGAGGACGAAAACUUCAAGAAAGAAUGGGGGGAAAUUAUAAUUGACUUAGGAGACCACUGUAAGCAGAUAAAAACAUUAGCAGGACUUGUAACGUAACAGGUAAUAUGGACAAUAUGGAUGAAUAUAAAAUAUACCGUACUUUUCCGUGUAUAAGACUAGGUGUUUUUUUACUGAAAUAUUAUGUUUAAAAUCUUUGGGCAAUCUCCCCCCAAAAUAGAGGGUGUAUUAUACAUGGGGGCAUGUUAUACAUGGAAAAGUAUAAGACUAGGUGUUUUUUUUACUGAAAUAUUAUGUUUAAAAUCUUUGGGCAAUCUCCCCCCAAAAUAGAGGGUGUAUUAUACAUGGGGGCGUGUUAUACAUGGAAAAGUAUGGUAGAUUAUGAAAUAAGAUGUAGCGGAAAAUGUUCACAUUAGGACCCAUGGAAGGUGAAGUUGCGAGAUUCAGAGAAAUCUCUUCAUGUGGAUAUGUACUGUGUAUUAUUAUAAACUCAUUUUUGUAAAAUCUAAUAAAAAUGUUUUUUUUAAAAGGGAUCUUAGCAGUGCUGUUUUUCUAGAAAAAGAGGUGUCAGAGAGAGGUGUCAACCUCUCUCAUUCUCUUAGAAUGGCAAUAGCGCCACAACGCACCUGACAGGUGCUGGAACUCAGUUCCGGUGAGUUCCGGCUGAAAAUAACGCCCGGAUCUUAGUGAGGGGGACAUCGAAAACUAAUGCCAGUCAAAUAAGUGCUGAUUAGUUCAUUGCUCCAAUGUCUGGCCCAGUGCGAAGCAGAGUCAGAUGUCGUUCAAACGAAAGAGAAACACUCUGGCUGUAAUGUAUAGCCCAUUAUGAAAUGGUUCUCAUCUGCUUUUUAUCUCACAUUAACCAACGCAGGUGACAGAUUCCAGACGAAAAGCCAUUCUGAAUGCAUUAGUUGGAAGCCGAGUCAGUGCACUGCACCCCCCCCAAGAGGUCUAUGCACUUGUUAAAAUAUUAAGAAAGACACACUUGUUAAAAAAAGGGGGCUGUUCUUUCACGAGCCCCCUUAAGGAAUAUGAAAACGCCACCCUCCUAUGGACUCGGGUUAACACUGUUGCAUUGAGAGCCGACGUUGCUCAGUUCAUUUAGAAAUGGCAAUAAACGUUUUUACUAUGGGAAUCUGGUGAAGGAAUUAGUUCAUAAAUAGGAAAUAUUUGACUGUACAUUGCCAAUCAAGUGAUGUUUACACGCUUUAGUAAGAUUUUUCAAAGAUUCAAUAUCCUUCAGCUGCGGCUCAGAGUAAACAGUUUGUGAAACAUGCCAUUUAAAAAAAUUAAAAAAAUAAGAGGAAAAUUGUAUGAUUAAGGAAUUAUUUGUUUGUGGAAAUUAUGUUCUCACUCUCAAGGGAUCCUAAUGCUGACUUUUUAGUUGUUGCACUGUUCAUUUGAAAGAAAAGCCUUAAUAUAUGAAGAUGUUUUUUGUCGUUGUUUGUUUCUUGGAACCAGCAGGCUUAUGCUGCUGAUUUCCCUGCCUGUCAGAAGACUUUUAUUUUAUUUUUAAAAAUUUAUAAUCUAUUCUCCUUCCCAUAGGAGCACCGGGGGGGGGGGGUAGCAAACACACACACAAAAAUAAAGCAAUGCAGUUAAAAAAUAAACACAUAUUUUAAACAUUUGAACACAAUUAAAAAACCCUAUCUAAAAUACUCAUAGUGGAAACCAAAAGCUUUUCAUUUGAAAAGUUUAGUGGAGUUGAGACAGCAUGAUCAGAACAUGAGAAGAUAUGUCCUGUAUCAUGUCAAUGGCCUAUGUAAUCGAGCAUCUUUUCCCACAUGGCCAACCAGAUGCCCAGGGGAAGACCACAAGCAGCGCAUGAGAGCAAUAGCCCUCUUGUGUUGUUGUUCCUCAGCCCUUGGUAUUCAGAGAUAUGGUACCUCUGAUGCUGUAGGUAGCAUGAAGCCAUCAUGAUUAGAAGCCACUGGCAGCCUUCUGCUACAUGAAUUUGUUCAGCCCUCUUUUAAAGUCUUCUAUAAGAAUAUAGAAGAAUAUAUACCUGGACCUUUUGCUGGUUGAAAAGCUUCUUACCUUCAAUUCCAGUACCCAGUGGUGGGCUGUAUAUAAGGAGCACUCGGGAACAAAAACACACUCUUACCAACUUUUAGAGCUGCUAGAUGCUCAUCAUCAUGAAAAGCAUGGUUGUAAUAAUUGCAAGGGAACAGCAUUAGCUUUUUUUGCUGAUGCAUCUUGCUGUUGACUCAGGUUCAGCAUGUGGUCCACCAAGACCCCUAGAUCCUUUUCACAUGUCUUCUUCUUCUUUGGCGAUCACUCGUAGCCGAGUAAGAUAGUCUUCCACAAACACGGUUUUAACAAUGAGUCCGUAAGUGACUGUGGAGGCCAAUUCUGGAUCCACAUGUCCUUCCACAGUGGGGACAUUGGUUUCCUGGCGGGAGUUGAUCAUGGUGUGGAUUUGCCAAGCGUGCCUUCCUCAGACCACGUUUCUCCCUUGUGUCCUGAGUUCAAGUGUCUUCAAAACCCAUGACACCUUUGGUAAAGGCUGUUCUCCAACUGGAGUGCUUGCAGGCCAGUGUUUCCCAGUUUUCAGUGUUUAUAUUACAUUUUUUAAGAUUUGCCUUGAGACAGUCUUUAAACCGCUUUUGUUGAACACCAGUAUUAUGCUUUCCAUUUUAUCUAUGCAUCUGUGCUGAAGUUGUAAGCUUACUGUAUUCACUAUAUAAGAGGGUCUCUGAGGAACCUCUCAUGCUCAACUGAUCACAGCGCAUAGUCCAGUCCUAGCCAAUGAGUUGUUGUUGUUGUUGUUGGUUGUUGUUGUUGUUAUUAAGGCAUUUUUACAACACAUACACACCAUACAAUAUUCAUCUUUAUCUCCUGGACUUCCCAGUCCAUCUCUCCCUGGUAGUCUUUUGUCUAGGUAGUCUUUCUAGGCAGUCAUUGUGAUCUAGGCAGUCUUUUGUCUACUGGACAAUCUGUUAUUCCACCCAUUUUUGUCUCAAAUCUUCCUUUAUUUAAUAUUAUUUGCUGCUCAUAUGUUCAUUCCUACUUGUAGGUUAAACUGACUAUUAUACCCUCUGAGAUACUCUUCAAAACACUUCCGCUCAUCUCUUAUCUGUGACUCAUUCUUAUUUCUUAGUUUUGCGGUCAUAGUUACUAAUACUGAGUUUUAUUACCUUUCAAACCCGUGACAAUCUGCUGUCACUGACUUGUUCAGUAACUCCGGGGAGGUGGGGAGGAGCUGGGUGAAAGGCCUUCCCCCCCAGUUAGAAUGAAUAGCACAUCUAAUGUUUCUUGCCUUUCAAGUCUUUUAAAAGUUGAAUAAAAUCACUAAAAGACACGCACACAAAUCAGCAUACAACCCAGUGGACAAGGGAUCCGGCUUGUAUAGAAAUCCUGAUUGAAAGAUUUAUCUUCUGGAAAAAAUCCAUGGAGAUAAAGUGGCCAGAUAAGAAAGGAUGGAAUAGCAUACAGUAGGCAAAACAGGUUUUUGUGAAAUGCUAUUCUUUUGUCCUUUGUAUAAAAUAUUCUAAAUAGCCUCAAUGUGCAUGUUAACCGGGGGAGGGGGGGGGAUACAAGGUCCCUUCCCACAUUUGUGAUUGCUUGAAAUGUUCAGCAUAAUGUUGGGAAGGGAAUCAUAGAAUGCACUCUUUCUGCACCACCUGAGAAACACUUGGAAGUAGAAAUAUGGAAAAAUCAUAAAUGCUGUGCAGACAUCUUUGCAAUGGGCAUAAUCAGGCAGUGAAGGGGAAACUGGAAUUGCACUCAUUGGUCCUGAUCGCAGGAUUCGUGUGGAUAUGCAGGUCGGUUCUCUCUGAAUGGUUCAUCCCAAGUGGUUUUGCGGGUGUGAAUCAUGUGGAGACAGUUUACACAGACACAGCUGAAAUGCAUGGUGAUAUCGCUUACAAGGUACAAUCAGCAAUGGAGGGUGAAGAUGGGAAGCAAUCCUACUCUCCCUGCCUGCGUUGAACAUUUGCACAAAUUAAAAAAUAUAUAUCCCUACGAAACACAGAUGGAACAACUGAUUGGUUCAAAAUUGGGAAAAGAGUACGACAAGGCUGUAUAUUGUCUCCCUGCUUAUUUAACUUAUAUGCAGAAUUCAUCAUGCGAAAGGCUGGGCUGGAUGAAUCCCAAGCCGGAAUUAAGAUUGCAGGAAGAAAUAUCAACAACCUCAGAUAUGCAGAUGACACAACCUUGAUGGCAGAAAGUGAGGAGGAAUUAAAGAACCUUUUAAUGAGGGUGAAAGAGGAGAGCGCAAAAUAUGGUCUGAAGCUCAACAUCAAAAAACCGAAGAUCAUGGCCACUGGUCCCAUCACCUCCUGGCAAAUAGAAGGGGAAGAAAUGGAGGCAGUGAGAGAUUUUACUUUCUUGGGCUCCAUGAUCACUGCAGAUGGUGACAGCAGUCACGAAAUUAAAAGAUGCCUGCUUCUUGGGAGAAAAGCAAUGACAAACCUAGACAGCAUCUUAAAAAGCAGAGACAUCACCUUGCAGACAAAGGUCUGUAUAGUUCAAGCUAUGGUUUUCUCAGUAGUGAUGUAUGGAAGUGAGAGCUGGACCAUAAAGAAGGCUGAUCACUGAAGAAUUGAUACUUUUGAAUUAUGGUGCUGGAGGAGACUCUUGAGAGUUCCAUGGACUGCAAGAAGAUCAAACCUAUCCAUUCUGAAGGAAAUCAGCCCUGAGUGCUCACUGGAAGGAUAGAUCCUGAAGCUGAGACUCUAAUACUUUGGCCACCUCGUGAGAAGAGGAGACUCCCUGGGAAAGACCCUGAUGUUGGGAAAGAGAAGGAGAAGGGGAUGACAGAGGACAAGAUGGUUGGACUGUGUUCUUGAAGCUACUGUACCAGCAUGAAUUUGACCAAACUGCGGGAGGCAGUGGAAGACAGGAGUGCCUGGCGUGCUCUGGUCCAUGGGGUCAUGAAGAGUUGGACACGACUAAACGACUAAACAACAACAACAAUGAAACACAGAAUAUCUUUAGCUCAAUGCUGAUUCGACGCUUCUUAUUCUGCUAACCAUGGUUAAGAGAUCAGGUGUUCUAUGGGCUCCAUUCUUUCCUUCCUCGUUGUUCUUCCCAUCUUAUGUGUCAAUCACUAUAGCUCUCAUUGUAGAGCUAGCUGUGGUGUAGCGUUACCUCGGCGCCAGCACUUCUGCUAACCAUGGUUAGCUCCGAAAGCUCUGUUUGCAGGUGUUAAAACACUAGCUUGCAUUGCACUUUGCUCCCAUUGUAAUUAAACUCCUUCCCCCUUUUCAAGGCUCCCAGAAUGUUUGACAGCAAAGGACAAUGUUAAACAACUAAGGAAGAGGUUUUCAAACGCUGGAAAUAUUUCAGAGAAUUAUUGUAACACUCAGAAAAUGUGUUUUUUAACCACCUUUGGAUAGGCAUGCAUGUUUAGAAAGUGUUCUCUUUGCUCUUCCCCUUGCCUCUGUUCUAUUAAAGGUCUUUAUUGCAAGUCAUUAAGUAUUACAGCAAAUCCUGCCUUUAUUUGGUAUAAAUGGGUGGCUUGGCCAACAUAUCUGACAUGACUUUUGUUAAACAACACCAUUUACUGUAUUGUUCAACAGGAUCCACAUUUAAGGGCUGAAUGCUUGUGGCGCUGUGGUCUAAACCACUGAGCCUCUUGGGCUUGCCGAUCGCAAGGUCGGCAGUUCAAAUCCGCAUGACGGGGUGAGCCCAACGUUUGUUCUCUCCCAGCUCCUGCCAACCUAGCAGUUCGAAAGCAUGCCAGUGCAAGUAAAUAAAUAGGUACCACUGCAGCGGGAAGGUAAACAGCAUUUCGGUCAUGGUGUCCCAUUGCGCCAAAAGCGGUUCAGUCAUGCUGGCCACAUGACCCGGAAAGCUGUCUGUGGACAAAUGCAGGCUUGAAAGCGAGAUGAUCGCCACACCCCAUAGUCGCUUUGACUGGACUUAGCGGUCCAGGGGUUAUUUACCUUUACCUUUCACCUGCUUUUUUUUAAUUAAUUUGACUUGUUGAUUCUCUGGGCCCAUAGUCAGUGUUGCACAACCUGUUGAUUAGAUGUGAUCAAUAUAUUCAAAGUGAAUUUUUAGAGUUUGGUCCUUUGUAAAAACAGGGCUUUUUUCCAGCUUGAACUCAGUACCAGCACCUCUCAGUUGGGUGCCAUUGCAAUUCUAGGAGAAUGAGGUGAGUUCAUGGUGAGUUCUGGCACCUCUUUUUGUCGAAAAUCAGCAUUGAUCAUACCUUUUGACAGCCACAUUGAAUCAGCUGAACCUUGGAGUUGCUGAGAAGGGAAGGUUUUAACACAUACACUAUUCCUGAUGCAGCCUAAAUGAGUGUGUAAUAAUAAUAAUAAUAAUAAUAAUAAUAAUAAUAAUAAUAAUUUUAUUAUUUAUAUUCCGCCCAUCUGGCUGGGUUUCCCCAGCCACUCCAGGUGGCUUACAGCACAUAAAAAAUGGUAAAACAUUAGACAUUGAAAAUUUCCCGAUACAGGGUUGCCUUCAGAUGUCUUCUAAAAGUCAGAUAGUUGUUUAUUUCCUUGACAUCAGAUGGGAGGACGUUCCACAGGGCAGGCACCACUACUGAUAAGGCCCUCUACCUGGUUCCUUGUAACCUCACUUCUCACAGUGAGGGAACCGCCAGAAGGCCCUCGGCAUUGGACCUCAGUGUCCGGGCUGAACGAUGGGGUGGAGACGAUCCUUCAGCUAUACUGGGCUGAGGCCAUUUAGGGCUUUCAAGGUCAGCACCAACACUUUGAAUUGUGUUUGGAAAUGUACCAAUGUAGAUCUUUCAGGACUGGUGUUGUAUGUUUUCAAUGUGUGCUGAAUGGAGGUGUUCAUUGUGCAUCUGGGUAUAUGUCUCCAUGUACGUUUGUUGAAUGUGUGCAUGUGUUAAUGGCGCCAGCAUCAGCCACCCCCGCCAGCCUUACCCACUGGCAUGCAGGUCUCGAGCAUCAAGCUACUGCCACAUGGGACUCUCAGGGUCCAGAUAUCUACACUCUCCUGGGAUACUUCCACCCUGAGAUGUGACUUUAGGUACAGUUCGCAGCACCUUGAGCAUCAAAAGCCUGCAUUGCCAUAGAGUGUUGCCCAUCAGUGCUAAAGCACUCUUCUUCAGUUUAUAUUUUCUUGAUUAUUUUACAUGUGUCGUUAAUGUUUGGUUAUAAGCCUAUCUUACAGGCCUCUCUUGUGAAAUGCUGGAAAUAAACAGUAUUUUAUUUACCGCAGGAAAGUUCCACACUGGAAGCGUUGACAUGGUCUGUAAUUAUGGCCAUCUGUACCCAACCCAGGGGGAACCUCUAAUUUUCUAGUUUAUGUAAUUUAAUUUUUAACUGCAUAGCAAAAGAGAGAGAGAGAGAGAUUUUCACUGAGAAAUGAACUCUAAUUAUAAAGCAAGCAGACUGAAUCAUUUAAAUAAGCAAAUAAUGUUCUAUUCUAAACUUUCCUCUUUUUUUUUUUUUUUUGGAGGGAAAAAAAAUGACCCUUGUAGGAAUGGCUCCAAUAUUUUACAAAGAAAAUACUUCCCCUAAUUAAAAUUAGCUAGCUAUUUGUUCAGGGAUUUGGGGUCAAUUAUGCUCACUAAGGGUUUUGAAAGACAACCAUAUGUUGACAUGCCCUUGGCUUCCUGUAGUUCUGUAAUGGUAUCUCACUAUUUUACUUUUUUCAUAUUUAAUAUUCAAUUAGCUAGUAAGUGUCCAGAAACAGGAGGGCAUUGACUUUUCAGAGUCUGAAAGAUUGACUUUUUUUCUUUUUAAGUACAGUGGUGCCUCGCAAGACGAAAUUAAUUCGUUCCGCAAGUCUCUUCGUCUUGCGAGUUUUUCGUCUUGCGAUGCACGGUUUCCCAUAGGAAUGCAUUGAAAAUCAAUUAAUGCGUUCCUAGGAAACCGCCUUCAGACCAGGUCCGGGGACAGUCUGUCCCCGGACCUCUUCUGAAGGCUGGGGGGGCACGGGCUUGUCUUCCCACCCCCAGCAUUUUAAAACCCGGGACAGCGGAGGACUUCUCCGCUGUCCGGGCGAUCUUAAAAUGCUGGCGGGCGGCAUUUAAAAUCACCCCGGGACAGCGGAGGACUUCUCCGCUGUCCGGGGCAAUUUAAAGCCCCUGGGAAGGCAGGCAGGGGGACAAGACUUUGCCCCGCCAGCCUUCAGAAGAGGUCCUGGACCUCUUCUGAAGGCGGGCGGGGGCGAAGUCUUGCUCCCCCGCCUUCAAAAGCCCUCCGGGACAGGCAGGCAGGGGGAGCAAAGACUUGCGCCCCCGCCCGCCUUCAGAAGGUCUUCCCUCCCCCCGCCCGGCUCGGAGCACCGUUCCGAGCCGGGCGGCGGCGGAGGUCUUCCCUCCCCCCGCCCGGCUCGGAGCACGUUCCGAGCCGGGCGGCGGCGGCAGGUGUUCCCUCCCCCGCCCGGCCGGAGCACCGUUCCGAGCCGGGCGGCGGCGGCAGGUGUUCCCUCCCCCCGCCCGGCCGGAGGAGCCUUCCGAGCCCGGCGGCGGCGGGAGGAGGUGUCCCCGCCCCGCCGCCAGGCUUCGGAGGAGGUCCGAGGACAGUGGGAAGACGCGCUGCGCUUCCCGCUGUCCCUGAGAUUUCCCUAUGGGCUGUCGUCUUGCGAAGCAAGCCCAUAGGGAAAUUGCGUUUAUGAGCGCCUCCAAAACGGAAAACCCUUUCGUCUAGCGGGUUUUCCGUCUUGCGAGGCGUUCGUCUUGCGGGGUACCACUGUACAACCUGUUUUUAAAUUAGCCUUUCUUGUGACUCUUGCGGCAUCUGGCAUUCUUUAGGCCAGAUAUCACCAAUCCGAUGCCCAGAGACAUCAAUAUUCUCUCUUUAUAUAUACAGUGGUACCUUGGGUUAAGUACUUAAUUCGUUCCGGAGGUCCAGUUCUGAAACUGUUCUUAACCUGAAGCACCACUUUAGCUAAUGGGGCCUCCUGCUGCUGCCGCGCCACCGGAGCACAAUUUCUGUUCUCAUCCUGAAGCAAAGUUCUUAACCUGAGGUACUAUUUCUGGGUUAGCGGAGUCUGUAACCUGAAACAUAUGUAACCUGAAGUGUGUGUAACCUGAGGUACCACUGUAAUUUUAUUCCAAGUUGCUUGAACUCAGUGGGUCUUUUCAGUGAGGUACCACUGUAUCUAUAUAUUUUUUAUUCAGUUUUACACUAUACAUUUGAAUUCAAACAUUAAUCAUAAUAAUUUAGGAUUCCCUGAUUCCUUAGACUUCCCUCCACGGUUUCCAUUAUCAAACUUUUUCUACUGCAUCAUAUAUUUUCUCUGUUUUCUUAAGAUAAUCCAUUUUUACCUUAGUUUUUAAUGCAUUACAAGCGUUACUCAAAUCCCGCCAAAGUUUUUAGUUCUUUACAGCGUUUUCUUAAGUAAACUGUAAUCCCCCCCCGCAUUUCUUAUUAAAUUUCUAUCUUCUUGGUUUCUGAUUUUCAUGGUCAUUUUCACCAUUUCGGCGUUGUCUAUCAUCUUCAUCAACCAUUCAUCUCUAGUUGGGACUUUAUAUUCUUUCCAUCUCUGCGCUGCUGUCGUUGCAUACGUAAAUAAUCGUUUCUGCUCCUUUGGUACCAAAAGAUACCAGAGACAUUAAUAUUCUCAGAAGUCUCAGAGAAUUCGUACUAAAAUAGGAAAAGCUAGCAUUUUGGUGCCAAUGAUAUCAUGUGGGCACUGCAAAACAGCUGCAUCCAUGAAGAUCAGCAACUCCAGAAUAAACAUCCAUCCCGAAGCACCAUCGCCUUGAAUUUCCCUACCUUUUCGCCUUUAGAAAUGCUUUAAAGAGAUUUUUGUGUAUUGCUGCUGCCGCCGCCAUUUUGUUUGCAUUAAAUUUAAUGCUGCAGUCUGGGGGUGGGCUACAAAUGAACUUAUUUGAAAAUGAAUGCAGAAAUAGAUUUGUGACAUUGUAGCCAGCUGGGAGGAGCUAAGUUAAACUGAAAAGCUGUGUACGUUUCACUUCCAUUGGGGGCACAGAUGAAGCAAUGUUGUUUAUUUCUUUAAAAAAAGUUCACGUGGGCAGAGUACCUAGGAAUGCUUAUGUUAAAACAAACAAACCAGUAUUCGUGAAAUUGACAAAAGUCCCAAAUUAGCCACCCACCCCCAAAACACCCUCCCACCCCUCUGCAGUUAGUGGAGAGAUAUUCAGGGAAAUUGAGAAGCCUGGUGAUUUAAACAGGUGCAAAGAAAAUCUUUGUUAAUUUCACCAUUGCUUAAAAACACACAAAAGACCCAGUUCUGAAUGGGUUUUUUCAAGGUGUGAGGCUGAGGAAUGGGGGAGAUUGUCAGGGACUGGGCAGAAGAGGAAUGGUAGAGAUCGCCUCCCCAUCCAGACCCUUCCAGGGAGGAGGAAGAGGAAGACAGUAUAGAUUUACAGCAGGGGUUUGAGGGAGGUUGCAGCUCAGAGGCACAUGAGGGGGAAAACUGGGAAAUCAUGGGAGAGCUAGAACAACACCCGGCUGACACAUUGUCAUUAGAAAGCUUUCCAGACCCUCCAUCUCACAGAACCUGGCGAGCCUUAAAAGUAGGAGAGCAAAGAGCUCAAAGACAGAGGGCACAUAGCAGCACCCGCAGAGGAAGUGAUAAUGAUGAUGAAUGAGGAACUGGGAUAGAAGGAGGGUGAAGGUUCACUCGGGACAACGCCAUUAUCCAAGAGGCUGGGUUCCAAAGCCUCUCUCUAUCAAGAUUGGAAUAAAAAAGGACUGUAAGAAACUUUCCCUUGUCUUUAUACUUUCCUGGGCAACUAGCUGGGAGCCGCUGACAGCAUCUUGAUAGAGAUGGGUAUUGUUGCCAUAUUUCCAAAGUGAAUAGCCGGAGAAAGUUGUUGAGCAUUCCUCCCCCCUCAAAAUUGUUGAGCUUUUGUGGGGGUACAUUUCACCCCAAGCCAAAAAGAACAUUUUUGGGCUUUCCCCUGUUUUUUAUAAGGAUUUUAUUUUUAACCCUUGCUAUAUGUUCGGGUUUCCCCAGACAUUUUGCAGACAAUUCAGCAGAAAUCCGCCCGGACACAAAAUGAUUGCCCCAUUCCUGGAUCUGUCCUGGAAAAACAGGAUAUAUGGCAGCCCUAGAGAUGGGGGAUUUAGCUUUCAGUAUGUGGCUUGAAGACUGAGAUAAAAUGGAGAAAGAGGGCCACACACACACACUUGUGUUUUAUGAGGAUCAUGACUAUUGUGUUUUAUAUUUUCUUUUCCUAUAUUAGUCUUUUCUUUUGAUAUAUUGCCUUUUAUUAUCUUUCUACAAAAGAGUUUGGAUUUUAUUGCUUAAUAUGUUGAAACCUCUAAUGAAAGCUGCUAUAUAUAUAUGAAAAAACACACACCAAAAAAAGGCAAACGAUAAGCGCCAUUAGAGCAGUGGACAGAGUGGCUUUCCCUGGAGACAGGGAUUGCAUUCCGUGCUGUCAGCAAGCACAUCAUAAAGCACUUCUCCACACCAGGCAAGAAAAUAGCACCCAAGUCACUCUAUAUCCGAAUGGAUUGUACUGCAAUUCUGGUGGAAGUUAAAAAACAAAGUCAUGCAACCCCAAAAAACAUAGUACAAGAGAAAAAUCCAUAGGAAUGCAAAAUGGCAAAGGUCACCUCGGUUCUGUAGUAUAGAAACAAUGGGGUGUAUGGUGUCACUAAUGGGUGGGUGAGGCAGUUCAGGUGAAUGAUGGGCAGGAUUACUGGGUGCUAGCUGCUAGUAUAAUGAUUAUGAGAGGGUUAAAGAAAUUAGCAGCAGCUAUAACUUUAAACGAAGGAUGCGGGUGGCGCUAGGGGUAUGGGUGGUGCUAGGGACAUGGGUGGCACUGUGGUCUAAACCACUGAGCCUAGGGCUUGCCGAUCGGAAGGUCGGCGGUUCGAAUCCCCGCGACGGGGUGAGCUCCCAUUGCUUGGUCCCAGCUCCUGCCAACCUAGCAGCUUGAAAGCAUGCAAGCGCAAGUAGAUAAAUAGGUAACGCUCCAGCGGGAAGGUAAAUGGCGUUUCCAUGUGCUGCUCUGGUUUUGCCAGAAGCGGCUUAGUCAUGCUGGCCACAUGACCCGGAAAAAAUAUCUGCGGACAAACGUCAGCUCCCUCGGCCAGUAAAGCAAGAUGAGCGCUGCAAUCCCAGAGUCGUUCAUGACUAGACUUAACUGUCAGGGGUCCUUUACUUUAAAAUAUAUAUAUCUAUAUAUAUAUAUAUAUACACACACAGACAUACACUUUAAACUGGUUGAAGAGAGGGAAACUUUUUCCAUAUGUGGUGGGCAUGAGGAAAUGUAAAAGAAUAUUGGGAAAUGAUAAAUAAUGAGAUGAAAAAAAAUGUUCUAACAACCUCCCCCGAAAAAAAACCCCAGAGGCAUUUUUGUUAGGUAUUAUUCAGACAGAGGUUCCCAGGAGUCACUCUGUGUGCCACAAAUCUGUUAACGCAAAAAAAUGAACCGCUUCUGUUUCCUGGAGUUAGUAAAGGUUCUGGAAUCGGUCUCUUCAAUCCCCGUGGAAAGGGCAGAUCAACAUAUCGCGUGCCAUGUUUUCCACCUAAAGUUGGCCACGUAUACAGCGUAUGUUUUCGCAUGGAAUGCUGUACUUAAUAUAUUGAUAGCAGCACCGUGAACUGUCCUAACUGCAGCUUUCAGAUCAAAUGCAAGGGAAACCCCAUAUAGAAUGCAUAUAAUCUGCGGGAAUAUUUUAAGUGUGUUUUAUAGGGCUGUGCUCAGUCCCUCAAUCCAAUGGGACCUGACAUGGCCUGAGACAGGGGUCAGCAAACUUUUUCAGCAGGGGGCCAGUCCACUGUCCCUCAGACCUUGUGGGGGGCCGGACUAUAUUUUGAAGAAAAAUAAUAAUGAAUGAAUUCCUGUGCCCCACAAAUAACCCAGAAAUGCAUUUUAAAGAAAAAGACACAUUCUACUCAUGUAAAAACACGCUGGUUCCCUGACUGUCUGUGGGCCAGAUUUAGAAGGCGAUUGGGCCAGAUCCGGCCCCCGGGCCUUAGUUUGCCUACCCAUGGCCUGAGACAACACACCUGCCCUUACAGGGGCAAGAAAAGGAGACCCCCAGUUUCUUUCCUUCCUUCCUUCCUUCCUUCCUUCCUUCCUUCCUUCCUUCCUUCCUUCCUUCCUUCCUUUCUUCCUUCCCACCUGGUGCCUCACCCACUGACAGCCUCAGAUCACUGUGGGCAGUCAAAACCAUGCCAGGGUAAUCUGGGGCUGUCCCUACCCAACUUCAGAGAAGCAGCCUCCUCUAGGCAGACCAAUUUGGAAUUCAGUUGAAUCCAGUGCACAGCGCUAGGAUUUUGGCCCUUGGAACAAAAGAUUUUAGCCAAGUUUUAAAUGCUGGGGUUGUUACUUUUAAAAUGAUGAUUUUAUGAUGUGCGCGUUGAUUUUAUGUGGAUAUUUGCAUUGAUUUAUUGUUUUAGCUUUUUCUGGCCAUCUCUCUCUCUCUCUCUCUCUCUCUUUCUGACGUACUGCCCAGAAGAUGUGGUUAAUAGGCAGUCUAUAUGUGUCAAAAAUAAUAAAUAAAUAAAGUGCUGUACAGGAAGAAGUCACGAAACUGCAGAACAGACUGCAGCUUUUUCUUUUUAAAAAUUUAAACCCUUUGGGGGAGGGGUAAAACACAAAACAUUCAUACAUAUGCACAUCAUAAAACCCAUCCUUGACGAAUGGAGGGCAAAAUUUUCUCCUAUCCUAUCUGGGUGAAGAAGAAACCGAACCUAAAUAUUUUGGAGGUAGCCGAAGUGGUGGCCCUCUUAAUUCACUGUGAUUUGUGUUGUACGACUUGUCCUGUGAAAUAUUCCAGCGUCGUAACUUUGGUUGAAGAGAGAAUGUUUCCAGUUUGCCAAGGUGCCCCCAUUGUCCCGGAGAGGGAUUUCCUCUGACUCCGAUGUGAAUAAUUCUUUCGGACACUGGUAUUCCCUCGAAGCGACUGGGCUUUCACUGUGAAUCACGGAGUCUUAUGCUGUCUCGCUGAAGCCAGGGGUUGUGUUGACCUGGUGGUAACGUUGAGUUUCACUUAUCCAUUCCUUUUGUCAGCAUUGAUUCAGCAUCCCUGUGUCCUUCUGUGAAAAACGAUUACAGGAAGAAGUGGUUGCGUGGCAAGUUCCCGCCCCUCCCCAAGGUGGAAAUAAUGACGCAUGACACAAUUAUUAAGGUUAAUGGGCUAAAAAGGCCACAACUUUAUUGGUUACAGGUGAUGAGCAGUAUUGGCUUAGGCAUUGGUCCUAACCGACUAUAUCUGACUUCAACCCGUUCGCUUGAAGUCUGGGAAGGGUUAACCACCAGUAGAGGGAGUCCUGCUGAUGCACAUCAACUAGGAACUCCCCCGGGGUCACCGAUAGGGGGCAUGUCUUUGGCCCUCACCUCCCUAGGCUUCGGACAGGGCCACGGCCCCCGGAAUCCUUUAUCAGACUACCCUUCAAUAUGCGGGGCAGGUUAUGGCGUUACCUCCCCUCUUCCAUCUACAAAACUAUACCAAUGCCUAACCGCCAAUACCCAGAAAGUUGUGGCGAUUUGCUACGAGGUAGGCAAAAACCAAGUGGCUGGUGCCAAUUUGCCAAGUGGAAAAAUUCCUACCAGGCCUCUCAGCGGUGACCAACCAAGGUCCAUAGCAAGGUCAAAGACAAAACCUUAAAGGGCAGGAGGGUGGGAAAACCAAAUAGCUGCAGAGCAGCAAAGAGGAAGAUCCCCGGCCGCAUCCUGCCUUAAAUAGGGCAGGCCAUGCCCCCAGAGCCAGCCGAUUGGCUGGCCAGGUGGUGAUGCAGCAGGGAAUCCCCCCAAUCACAUGGGGGCUGGGCUGUGAAGCCUGCAACCUCACCUCCGCUGAAGGGCAGAAGUGGCUUUGAGGAAAAGCCGCCUACAAAAGAGGCUCUCGCUUGGCGCUCCGCUUAUGCAUUUGUUGUUGUUGUUGUUGGUGGUGGUGGUGGUGGGAUUAUUAUUUCUAUACAGCCCUAUACCCGAAGGUCUCAGUGCGGUUCUGUUGAGCCCCAGAAAUUGAGGAUCUGCCUCACUAUUUGUUCUUUCGUUCACUUCACUCUGAACCAAGAACCGGGAUCUAUUCUGCCUCAUCUCUAUUUCAAUACCAUUCCAGAAAAGAUUUUCUACUUUCUGCCAGACACUGAUUAUAGGGUAACUCUCAAGGUCUUUCUUAGCGGAAAUGAAAAUCCCGACAAGAGUUAUAUAGGAGAUUGCAGUUGACUGCUUUGGGGAUGCUCUUAAUUUAACCAUUAUAUAUUUUAAAAACCAAUUAUUUUUACCUGUAUCAAAAUUUACCCUUUCAAUAUGUAAGUUCUAUAUAGUAUGUUACAUGUGAUUUAUAUUGUAUGUUAAACAUACUACACCCUAUUUUCCAGAGACAGUCUCGGAUUUACAGAAGCAAGAGCCAGUUUUUGAUUUGAUCCCAGAAUGUGUCCCGCUUUUCCUUAGGUUGUCACUAUUUUCAUCAGAGAAAUGUUGGAGGGUAUGGAGUUAUGUGACCCCCGAGCCAAGGAGAUAAGUAACUAUACAACCAUUAGAAGACAUCUAAAUGCAGCCCUGUCUAGGGUAGUUUUUUUAAUGUGUUUUUAUUAGCAAUUUCAACAUAACAACAUAUCAAAACAUAUCAUAUUCAUUAUUUUCUCCCCUUUUGUCCCCCCCUCAAACCCCCUCCCCUCCCCCAGAGACUUCCCUCAGCUCCUCUCUCUAACUUCUCAGCACAUAUUAUUCUCUGCAUGUUAUAAAAUUAUACAAAUCCUUACAUUAUCUGUCUACCAUGUUAUCAAUCAAUAAAUCUGUGUAUGUUUAUUCAAAACCUGCCAACGAGUCCAAUUCAUUUUGUUGUCUUUUUAAGUAAUUUGUGAAAAGUUCCCAUUCUUCUUCUUCUUCUUCUUCUUUUAAGUCACAGUUGUCGUUAUCUCGCAUUAAUGUGUAAUGUUUGAUUAUGUUUUUAUAUAUGUUGGAAGCCACCCAGAGUGGCUGGGGCAACCCAGUCAGAUGGAUUGGGUUUAAAUAGUAAAAUUAUUAUGAUUGAAUAGGAUGUACGUAUUUUCAUGAGAGAAAUGUUGGAGGGUAUGGAAUCAAGAUCAUUGUGCCCAUUCUUGCUUUUGAUAUUCUGGUGUAUGUGUGUGUAAUAUUUUUGUACCCGUCAGUUCAGUUUUCCCAGAAUGAGGUGUCGCUAGAGAUUUCGUUUCCUCCCCAAGUGCCUCUUGCAGUCUUGGGAACGGAUCCAGAGAAAGCACGGCCACAUUUUUAUUCUUUAUCUGAGUUUGUUUAAGGAGCCGGAACGAUCCAGGACUGAAUCACAGGUCGUUUGCAGAGUCCCUGACUAGUGCCCAGCAAAUUCUAAGAAAUCUUUUAUUCCAAGGCAGUGCAGUUCUGCAAGCCUGCGGAAUUUGGCUGACCACAGGAAGCAAUUGAGAGCUUUUCCAGCCUGACCAUAUCGGCCGUCUCACCACAAGAACGUCCUAUUUUGGCUCCGUCCCUUCAAUCAACUCAAGGUUGUGCCUCUCGUGAUCUGCAGGGCCGAGUUUAAGGAGAGCUUGUUGGCUCUCUGUUUAUGAAGUAGCCCUUGCUUAACACAAGCUCUCCUUUCUUGCAUCAGAACAGCUCCUGUUUGCUUUAUUAAAUGCUGGCUAAUUUUCCAAAGGAGCAUAAACGGCUUCCAUUACAUCUGAAUACUUAAAGAAAAAAGAAAAAGAAAAAUCUAUUGCGAAUCCACUUACGUUAAAUACAGAAAACAGAGAGUCAAUUGAAUAAUAGAGGAAAAACACACCCUCCCACCUCUGCUUCUGUAAAUUAAUAUGGCCCAGUUCAAACACUUGCCUCGCCAAGGAUUGUAAGUUUUGUGGUGGAGGAAGGAGACCUGCAUGCUAGGAAGACAGGGAGCUACCUUACACUGAGUCACAACAUUGGCCCAUUUAGCUCAAUAUUGUCUGCACGGACCAACAGCAACUUCUUGGGGUUUCAGAAAGGGGUCUCUCUCAGCCCUACCUAAAGAUGGCAGGAUUGAAUCUCAGAUUACCUGAGUGAAAAGUGUGUGCGUUAGCUCUGUGCUAUGGUCUUUUCUCUACUUCUGAGUAGACCUACCUGUCAGGCAGCGUGGCGCAGUGGUUUGAGUGUUGAAUGAGGAAUAAGGAGAUCCUAGUUGAAGUUCUUACUCAUCCACCAAGCUCCCUGGGUGACAUAGUGUCUCAUGUGGGAGAAGAUUGCAUGAUCCUCCAUGAAAUAGACUCCCUGCACCUAGAAAGUUAGCAUAUCAGGGGACAAGCUAGGAUUACCCCGUUCCCUGGUUUGCUAUAUUUCUGUAGGCAAUGAACUCAAUUUGUGUUUUUGGGUGGGUAUAUAUGUUUAGGUCAAAAUCUGUUAUCCCUAACUCACAGUCCAAAAUAGUACAGCCCACAUGAUUCUCCUGAAUGUAUAAACUGGUGCUAACUUCCUUUGGAUAAGGGCCAAUAUAUAUGGAGCUGGACUGAAGCAUUAAGCCAUAAUUAUCUUAUAAUCAGUUGCUCUGACUUCCGUGGUACAUAAGGUAACCGUGGAUUGUUAAAUGCAAACAUUUGCAGAAUAAAUUGAGUUCCUUUGUUCCGAACAAUUCUCUGAUCCAGUGCUCUUUCCUAAGGUGCAGUAAAUUUUCCUCCAUGACAUUUAAAAAGCCAGGCCUGACAUUUUUCAUCUUAAUAGCCAGGACAAUGUUUCUUAUAUUUCCAAAUCUUUCCAUAUGUUACAGCUUAUGGGAUAUAAACAACGAAUGUUAGGCUCGUAGAUCUCCUGACGAUGUUUUUCCUCCUCAGUUUGCCCGAAGAUUUAAGGUUUUCAGACAUUGCUAUGGAUUAUAUUAUUAUAUUUGUUUUCCACCAUUCCUUUAAGGAGCCCAGGACGUGAAGGAAGUUGCUCCAUUUUAUUCUCAUAAUUGUCCUGGGGAGGCAGGUUAGGUUAAUGAUUUGUCCCCAGGGCUACACAAUGAAUUAUAUGGCUUAGUGACAAAUCGAAUUCCUAUUCUCCCCAAUUUAAGUCUACUGUUCUGUCUCAUGCACUCCCAAUCCUCAUCUAAUGCUUUGUCCGCUAUCUCCAUAUACAGCCAGGACCCAGAAGUGCAGUGGGACAGAGUUGCUCUGGUAGCUUCCAGACAGUGGGUUGCUGUUGCUUACCAGGGACUCGGCUACACAGCUGCACAUAAAACAUUUCAAAUGCGUUGCAAAGUGCAAUAUACAAAGCUGACACUGGAUGGCGACAGUGAGCUAUGCAAAAUUCAAUGCAUUUUUCAAAACGUUUUAAAAUAAAACAUUCUCACAGCAUUUUUUUUAAAAAAAUAUGUGUGUAGAUUCCACCCAGGUUGCUGCAGUGCAGACGCAGUGGAAGGAGCAUCAGGUUGGUGAGUUUGCACCAUGCCAACCUCCCUGCUGUCUUGCCCCCUUGCCAGUAAGCCACAGUAACCCACUUGUUUCUGGAGCCUUUACAUCCAGAUAUUAAUUUUGAGCAACUCAGUUUAUUUGUUCUUCUGUUGCUUUGCAAGCUUUGUUCAUCCAACCAGGGGCAUAUUGUGGGCAGGUCCAAAGGCCACAUGUUUUUGAGGGGGCACGAGCCAGGUGGCCCUACACAGGAAGCUCUGCCCAGCCUGCCACCGGGGGUCUCUGGGCUCCGGAGCCUGGCCUGGCCUUGCUGCUGCAUCCCUGGCACCCUUGCAGAAUGGCCACCCAGCUAGUGUUGGGGGGAUGCCCCCGUCAAGGGCUGCAUCGGCCAGCCGGGCUCCCCCCUGCAUGGGCAGGCAGGCGGCAUAUUGCAGCAUGGCCCCAUGAACCCUCUGUGCCCUGUGCCCACCCGGUGGUACAGAGUUGGGCUGGCAAGGUGGGUUUUGUUUACCCUCUGCUCCCAGCACCUGGUCCCACUUGGUGCAUGUACACACAUGCGUGAGCUCCAGACAGUGGCAACGGAUGCAACGCCGCUACUUUCAAAGCCCUAUUUCAGAUACCAAAACCUCUUCAGAUUUAUUUCCAUUCAGUACCUGAGUUUGUGGACUGUGGGGAUUUGGUUUCAUAUCUUUGGCCCAUCCUGGUCAGAAGCAGAGGAGCUGGUACAUGCAGGAAUGUUGGGGGCACAUGGGAGGGUGUGCUCCCUUAAGGGUUUGUGUUACAUGGAUUCAGCUGAAUGCCUGAACAGGGCCCUAGCAAGUACAGUCCAAUGACACCCAGUGUCAGGUGGCAGAGGAUCCAACCCCCAUGGCAGGUUACCAGAAACGGAUAAGACAAGGAAAAGUUCUUACCAACUGCUUUUUAUUCAAUAUUCACAGAGAGAUGCUUAGAAAAACAUCCUCUUUGAAUAAUGACUGAGUCUCUACCCCUCCCUCUCUCCCUUCAUGCGUCACCACUACGGGUGCUGAGAAGUGCCCUCUGCCUUUGAGCUCUUUGCUCUCCUAAUUUCAAUGCUCACCGGGUUCUGGGAGAGGGGGGGAUCUGGAAUGUUUUAUAAAGGCACUGUGCCCAUCAGCUGUCAACAGCGGCAGAGGAAGCCACUCGGGUGCCUGGGGCAGCAUGCCCAGUGACAGUGGGGUGAGCCGCCCAUAGGGGCGGGGCACACUGUGGGGCCUCGGAGUCUGCCUGCCUCCUCCCUACAACCGUCCUACAGCUGGGCGGGGGGAGGCAGCAGGUGGACGGUUUUGGGCAGCGUGGAGCCUGCGCACACCCAAGCCACCACGUCUCUCCCAGGAGAGACGCAUGGCUCGGGCAUGCUUCAGGCCCUGCGAUGAGUGCCACCUGGCAUUUUGUCACCCCCCUCAGUGUAUUUCUGAAAUGUCUUCUUCUUCUCUGGAAGGGUCAGGCUGGGGAGGCAGUCCCCAUUCCUCCUCUGUGAAGUCCCUGACACGGCUUUGUGGCUGUGCAAGGAUCUGACUUGGGUCUCCCUGGCACUAGUCAUUUGUUAGCUGGGCUGUUGCUGUCGAAAACAUUGGAAGGAUGCCAGGUUGGGUAAGAGUUCCAUAAUCCAGGGAUGGGGAACCUGUGACCCACUAGACACUAUUGGACUCCCAUUUGCUCUAGCCAGGGUGACCAAUGUUCAGGGAUGAUGGAGAUGAAAUCCAAUUCUUUUCCGAGUGCCACCACAUUGACCAUGCCUGCUGCAGUCUAACACACAAACUAAUGCGCCACACCAGCUCUGUUAUUUGAGAUGUAAUGUUCUUGUAUUUUGAACUGCAGCAGUUUUUAACAAUCCAGGUGUGUGUCGUUCUCCACUCCUCCCCGACAACAUUCUUAAUAAAUACUACAGUGGUACCUCAGGUUACAUACGCUUCAGGUUACAUACGCUUCAGGUUACAUACGCUUCAGGUUACAGACUCCACUAACCCAGAAAU